rnacentral:lncRNA from 1 species
UUGGAUGAGCCUAGUUGAACAAUUGAUGAUGAAAAUCCGCUAUAGGGUAGAAGACUUAACCGGAAACACGUGGGCGAUCCUCCUUGAGGAUGUAGUGUCAUGGGUCACCUUCAAAGGAAGGGACCAAAAUCGGCACAAUAUGCCAUGUUUCUAAGGACGAUGUAAGUGUACAUCUUGAUUGUAAAUCAAUAUGAACCAUAAGAGGAGAAUAGUUUCACUUCGAAAAAUUCUCAAGGCAUUCAUUAUUGCUAAUGUGAGUACAUCGAGGUCUCAAAUAAACAAAGGACGUCGAUACAACGCCUUAGUACAUAUAACUUGGAACGAAAAUCAAUGUCUAGCCGAUGACAUCAAAGUCAUGGGUAGCUAGAGCAGGAUCCGAAUCUUUAAAAUGCGCGAUCAUGAGGAUGACGUUCUUGUCCUCAUAUUGAUUUUCCAUACCUUUUUGUAUGCAUUCACAAUUUAAAGGAGCUUGACAAUCUUGAACCAGUGAUCCGAAGAUCCACAACGGUUGCAUUAAUGUCAUGAGCUGACAUGAGUAGUUUUGACAAAAUGGUGUCUAGACCGGGAGUGCCGCUAUUAGAGCCGGCAACACCUCCCCCUCUUUUCUAGACAUCGGCACGACGUUUUCUGCCGUUGCCAUGACCCAUAUUGUUGUCCCCACAUUAGGGGAUAAUCCCAAAUAAGUUUAUCACAUUAGCGUAUAUACAAUUCCUGUUUGUAUGAUCAAAAUCAAGUCUCGUUGGUAAUUCCACACCAACUUGGAGGACCUAGAGAACUUGAUGAUGAUUGAAUCCGCUAAAGAUUAUGGAUCAUGAUGCCACAAAAGAUCAUCGACAAUAUGUAGUCAAUUAAAGUGGUAAGCAAUCCACUUGACUAAUAACUCAACAAGUAGAGUUAUAUGAACGUUUCGAGAAACGCUCCAUGAGUGCAUUCCACAGUACUUUGUGGUCAUUACUUUUUGCACAGAUUGCCAUUGAAGGCUUUGUCGAUGUGGCGCGUCAAAGACUUUGAGCGCAUGAGAUGUGAAAUCUCGGCAUCUAGGCUUGUUAGCUUGGGGGUCAAAACAUGUGGUUUAAUCCUUUACAAUGAAAGGUUCCACAGAUACCAAGCGAAGAUCCGCCUUAGGCAUCUAGUACGUCAAAACUCAAACGAGCAGAAUGUUACAUUGCUCUUGCAUACAAAACCAAGCUGUUAUGAGACUCGAUAGAGGUCACAAAUGAUGCUUCUAAUGGUUUGUCCUUCGGAUUGAUCAUACAUAAUCCGGAAAAGCCGCGAAUUGAUCAAACACAAUUCGGAAAAAGGCCUCGGAUUGAUCAAACACAAUCCAGUGAAAGGUCAGGGUUGAUCAAACACAACUCGGACAAAGAAACAAGAGUGAUCAAACACAAUCCAGUGAAAGGUCGGGGUUGAUCAAACACAACCCGGACAAAGAAACAAGAGUGAUCAAACACACUCUUGACCCGCGAAUAAAAUUCCGGGAUUUGAGUACCUGCACGCACAAAAUCCCAAGCAUAGAAUGGAGAUGGAGAAGGGAGGAAAGGAUUUUAUCCUCCCCGAGUUAUUGAACUUGGAAAAGUUUAAGGUUUCAAAAAACAUACCUUUCUAGAGGCUGCCGAGAGGAGAAAUAACGUUUCGCCUACUUAUACUUCGAAUUUGGGGCUGAAAAUUUGAUAGGAGGAGCAGCUCUGGAUGGGGAAGCUUCUGUCAAAAUUUCAGGUUGAUCGGAGAAAGGGAAGGUGGUGAACCGGUGGUCGGUAGCGGCGGCGGUCUGGGAUCUUCCGGCGGCCGGUUCAAAGACUUUCCGGCCGGUUCUCAGGGUGAGGCCGGCGGCGUUGGAUCCGAGACGGAGAGAGAUUUCUGGGGAUAUCAAAUUGGAGGACAGUCGGAAUUUUGGUCGGAAAUCGGGAAAAAUAAGGCUGCCCGAUUUUAGGGUUUUGGUUUUUAGGGUUUAGAAAAAAAAUGGUGGGCUAUUGGCUUUAGAGUUAGAACAAAGUGUAUGAUAACGUGAUGAAGGAUUAAUGAUAGAGACAAAAAGAUAGCAAGAGAAUCAUCAUCUUAUUCAUUGAUAGGAGCCCUUUAUAUAGGGAAUUACAUAAUACCAAUAUGGUAAGGAUAUGAAUACAUAGAUUUCGUCUAACUACAUAUCCUAUUAGCAUAAGACCAAGACACACAUGGAGAAUAUUCUAAAACAUGAUAUGUAAUUUUCACUACUAUAUAUGUUGGCCUCAAAAUUCAAAAAUGGAGUCUACGCCUCAAGUACACUAUCUGGGCACGAAUUUUGAGAUCUAAAAAGUCAAAGAAAAGAGGGAUGGCACCCCAUUAAUUAUCUCCAAUAUCAAGCCCCAUUUCUCAACUGUCCACGCCCAUGAAACUCGUUAUAAUUAAGCCCGAGUGUGAGAGCAGAGUAACUUUCUUCUUCUGCUUCUCCUUCUUCGUUCUCUAGCUCACAAAUCUCUUUUGUCUUCCUCUCUCUCGCUUCAUUUGAGCACAGCCAAAAUCGAAGAUGACGAACCAGCUGGAGAGCUUGGUGGAGUCGAUCAAGUCGAAGGUGAGAGCUCUGAAGAAGAAGUCCAAGAAACCCUACAUAAAGAUGGACAAGAGCUCCAGCGUCAAGGUCGAGAUCCGUAGCAAAAAGGCUCGGAAGCUCAUUGACAAGACUCUUAAGCUCGCUGAUCGUCCCGGAAAGCGUUUUGUCUCUUGAAAUUUCCACACUCCAUACACAUCUGACAUUUCUAUAUCGAUCUGGACACGUAUAUGUACACCAGUGGCAAUGGUUCAUGAAUAGUUAGCUUGGUUAUUUAGCUAGGGUGAUUUCACGACGACGACGAUGAUUGUAAUCGGGGUCGUCUUCUGUGUUUUUGUUUUGUCUUUGUUGGCUUCCGAUCCUGUGUUUUCGACGCUUUGAACCGUUUCGGAUUUGCUUUGAUGAAUGAUGAUUCUGUUUGAUGACUAUUCCUUUUCUUUCAUGAUUGAUUAAUUAUGAUGCAAUCUCAACCGAUUAUAAGGGAAAUAAAAAGGAGAAAAAGAGAGAGGCUAGUUCCUCUCUCUCGCACUCGGAAAAUAAUAACGAAAUGAUGAGCAAACGGACGGCUAUAUAUUAGCGAUGAUCGUCGGACACGGUCAUACUCUAAUCCGAAUUUUACGUUACGGAUUAGAAACUUGAUUAUGCUGAACUGUUCACAGAUCAGAGAGACUUGAUCAGUAUGAGUUUGUUAAUUAGAAACAAAUUGGAUCUCUUAUGUUUUGUUUAGCUUUUCCGUUCUUGCACCGAAGAAUGAGUCUUGCCGGUGGAUUUUUUUGGUUUGUAAUGCACAAAAUCUGAAAGAUCCAGUUACUUGGGACCAAAUCUAUCUUGAAUGUAAGCAUUGUGCACCAUGUUCCACAUUUGUGUUCAAAGUUUCAAACCGUUUUGGAUCCAAACAUUGUAGCAUGUAAAAUAAAAACCAUAUUUCAUCGCGUGCAAAACGUUAAGCACAUUCCGUCAGACAUUAUAAUAGUAUCUGAUAUUAUUAAAACCUCUAACUAAGUGACUUCUGUGGUCAUUCUAUUGUAUGAAAAUAACCUUCAACUACCAUGUUGUAAAAGAAGAAGAAAAAAAGUUUGAAAUAAUAUAAUGAUAUUUCUAGUUAGCAUUGUGAAAGUUUGAAAUAAUAUUAGGAGUUCAGAUUCAGAGGAAGAGAGCGCAGCUACAGAUGGUACCUGACCCAGUACGUACUGAUUUAGUUUCUCAUCAUUAGAAGAGGAGCCCUUUUCAUACUACAGAGUCAAUGGUCUUAUUACAGGUAUUAAGAUACGGGAUCCCAUACUUCACAUGAUUCAUUAAUUUAAGAGAAGCAACAUUGAUUGAUUCCAUGACUUCUCAUCAAUUAUUUGCAUGUCACUAAUACUCACGACCAUAUUAGACUUACUCAAAACUUUCAUUAGAUGGCCUUAGUAUACCCAUUUUGAAACUAGCAGUAAUGUCACAAAUCCACCUUAUAAUUAAACCACAGGUGAACUUGCUGCAGAAUUAGAGAAAGUAUGUUCCAUGAUGCAUCAACUCAUUGAAGCCCAGCACUUGUGAACAAGACAUCUCAACAUACCAUGACACUGAUAACAAGCAUGGAGUACUCAAAAAACUGUAUUUGGCAGCAACCCCUACUGCAUAACAAUAAAGGAAUACAUGGACAUCAACGGGUACGAAAGUAAGGGAAACCUAACACAUCCAUAGUAAGAUACUAAGAUACUGAGUGUCCCUUUCACAAAGAAAAAAUAAAAAGAGAAAAAGAUUCGAGUGAUCAUAGAGGGAGGAUUUUGAUGCCAAACCAACAAACUAAUUUGAAGCCAAACCUAAGUUUGUCAAGCUAUCUGCAACUCAUGAAUACCCCUCUUUCAGAAUGUGAGAGCAACGAAUCGGUCGAACACGAUUUAAGCAUGUUCAUGACUUAGCAAUUAAUAGAGGCCAUGGUGGGAUCUCCAGCCUGUUUGAGCCCAGUAGGUACUUUUGGUCCAAGACUCGGGGUACGUUUUGAAUAACAUUUGGGCCAGUACCUGUGGCCCUUUUUUAAUGUGAAGCCCACGAAGGGUGGCGAAGUCUGGCAACACGCGAGCUGGAGUUUGGCAAAGAUUCCGAUACCCCGCGGGAUUCGAUGUCCUUGCGGGAUCCUUUGUUUCAGUUCGUGUAGGAUUCUGCAGUACAUGGCGAGGUAGAGUUGGAAAUGGGCUGUAAUACUCCGCGGGAUAUGAUCGCUUAGUGUUCGAGUUCGCGUACGACGCUACAGUGAGGUGAUGCGGGGUAGUGAGCACGACCUAGGCGAAGUCUGUUUUGGACACGUGUUGCAUGGAUCGCGCGGCUCGCGAGCUGGUCGUUUCCUGGUGGAAUUCUAAUUGCUGAGGCCGAAUGGAUUUGUGAUUAGGUCUCUGCGAAUUGCUUGCGGAUCGCUAUAUAAGGGAGCUUGACACAACGAACAAAGGACACAAUCAAUCAUACAAAACAACUGCAAAUCUUCGAGCAUCCUCGAAACCCUAAGUUCUAAGUGUACCUCGCCUUAGAUUUCAGAGCCCGUCUGGACUCGCCUCUCUUUCCCAAUUGUUGCUCUGCUCGCUUCGAACAGCGAGUAUCGAUUCAUAGGUGACUAGAUAGUUUGCUCGUAAUUCCUCACCCGCGAGGUGACACCGGAGCUCUACUUCGCCUGAUUAGAAGUCAAGAACGCGCACCGUUCUCGUUCCGCGUCCGCGCGGUGGCACGCCCUGCAAACCCUAAUUUACUUUUGGUAGCACAAGUUACCUCUCUACCCCUACUGAGGAUCGUGGCCAAAACAUUGGCACGCCCAGUGGGACCGGGAGUAUAACAUUCUCCCCACCAUUGAGAAAUCAGGCGGAUCCCCAUAUGGGAGACCCUCGAUUUCUUGUUUGAAACAUAAAUCUCCUCAAUACAAGCCCCAUAACAGCGCGGCUUGCCGAUCUCUCACCCAAGAAGAGGUUCUCGCUCGGUUUGGCAACCCCGACCAUAGCGAAACCACAAUGACAGGUUCACGACCAACCCAAGACGCAGGACUUACUCUGCCCGCGGAUGAAGUCCGCCAGAUGUUUGGGGAACUGAAGAAUGAUCUCGACUCGCUCAAGAGGGAGCUCGGCUCGAAGGUCGACACCACCCAGCAAAACAUUGACUCGCUCAGCCUGAAAGUCGACACCACCCAGCAAAGCGUCCAAGACCUCUCUGAACAGGUCACGAAAGAGAGAACUAUCUGGCUCGCUAACCAAGAAAACCUUUCUAGGCUCAGCGAGGAGUUUAACUACGUUGCGGGUAAAGUCAGGGAAGAUAAGGACUUGGUGGACGGCUCCCUUCAAAGGAUCCAGAAAGAUUUGGAUCAGAGCAAGGCGGCUUUCACAAAAACCCUGGAUGUGCAAACCCGUCGCUUGGACGAACACGACACCAAGCUACAACAACAGCAGGACGCUUCUUUCUUUGGAAGUAAGAAUAGCAUGGAAAAGCUUGAGGACUACAAGGAGCAACAUGAUAACUUGAGCUUAAGGGUCCUGCAGUGGAAGACUGGAUGCGGUCUCAAGCACCACAGAAAACCCUGGAUGUGCAAACCCGUCGCUUGGACGAACACGACACCAAGCUACAACAACAGCAGGACGCUUCUUUCUUUGGAAGUAAGAAUAGCAUGGAAAAGCUUGAGGACUACAAGGAGCAACAUGAUAACUUGAGCUUAAGGGUCCUGCAAGUGGAAGACUGGAUGCGGUCUCAGGCACCAAAGAAUCAUGCUAUGAACUUAAUUAGUUCAAGUGCAACUGAGGGCUCAAGGUAUAUUCCACCUAAUGAACGCCCUAGAGGAAAUCCAAGGGUCGGGGCCCAGAAAACUCCCCAAUUCACAUUGGGGGCCAGUUCGUCAAAAAUGCCACCCCGUCUACCCUCGCCGGGCGGCCUGGGAGUCACACUCAGGGGCACUGGUGGCUUCCCAUCUCAAGGGAUCGGGACACCAGAUGAUCCAGUUAUAGCUUAUUCCAGUUCGACCCCUAAGAACAUCGGGCAGGCCCCUAGCCUCUCUGCAUGGCACGGCCACGAUCAGGGGGCAGAAUCCACAUCAGUAACGGCAGCAGAUUGGUGCCAGCUCAUCUCGAGCAUAGUCAAGGAGCAAACUGGAAAAGGUGACGCUAGCUUGCAUUAUCGUGAUCCCUAUCCUGAUAGCGUGGCACAAUAUCCCUUCCCUCAUGGGUUUAAGAAUAUUGUCUUCACCACUUUCUCCGGGGAGACAAGACAAGGGAAGAUGCAGCAACACACAUGGCCCGUUUUAAGGUCCAAUGCGGCCAAUACGGGAAUGAUGAUAUGCUCAAACUCAAACUCUUCGGGACUUCUCUGUCCGGGGCUGCUUUCACCUGGUACUCCAGAUUGAAGCCUGGGUCAAUAGCAGAUUGGCCCACUAUGGAAAGACUCUUCCGAGAAACGUACGGCACGAUUGAGCCUGAAGUUGGCCUUGACUCCCUCACACAGAUGAGCUAGCAGAGCAUGGAGUCCGGAGUUUCUUUCCUCCAACGCUUCAAGAUCCAGCAAGCCAAGUGUGAUUACCUGCUACCUGAGCAGGAAGCCAUUAAGUUGGCUAUUAGAGGUCUGGAGCACCGCCAGCGGUUGAAGCACCAUGGAGAGCACUUUAAUUCCAUGGGUGACCUGAUUAACAAAGUCGACAGCUACGAGCUAAUCCUGAACGAGUUGGACGACAAAACAAAUGCUUCCAAAGGAACCUACAUACCAGGGAAAAACCGGAUAGUGGGGGCACUAAACAAACAAACCCCUACUCAUGAUCCAUAUUAUCAAAGACCUGAGGGAGUUCAUACGGAUCAGGACCUGGAUGACAUUGGCGCAGUAGAAUUGACUGGCAAGCCAUUAGCUCAUAAGUUGAAGAACCUGAAGAUGACACGUGAGCCAAUCACCAUCCAGUCCUUUGCAUGGACCAAGCCGGAGUACGAGUCGUACACCUAUGAUGCUAAGAACGCCCAUUUGGUCUUUAAUGACCUAAUAGAGGCGAGAUAUAUGCGCCUGGAUCAUAAGAUCCCACCCAAGAAAGAGCUGAAGGACAAGAAGUACUGCUCCUUCCACAAUGUUUACAAUCAUGACACCAAAGAUUGUGUCAAGCUUCGAGACCAGCUGCAGACAUGGCUGAACUCAGGCGAGCUAAAGAUGAAAACACCGGGUAGUACGGCCUCGUUGGUUGAUAUAGACCCUUUCCCGCCUGUAGUUGGCAUGGUCGAGGUAAACUGGGCCAAUCAGACCAAGGACGACGAUCGACGCCGGGCACUUAAAAGGGGCCGCGAGGAAGGUGACGACAGUGCCCGCCGGCCACGUCGCCAAUACACCUACAACGAAGAUCUUGCACAUGAGGUUUUAGACGAUCUCAUCGACGAUGGGCUCGUCACAGUGGCUAAUUCCUUGCCUUACGUAGAAUAUAAGGAGGGGCGCAUUCACUGCAAGUUUCAUAAUAGCUGGGGGCACAGAACCAGCGAAUGCCAGCAGCUUAGAGACCAGGUUCAAGACUGGCUCGACCUCGGGUAUAUUCACUUUGAGAAUAAGGGCGACUUCAUGAUCGCAACCGCUGACUUCAUGAUCGCAAUGGCUGACUUCGCUUGGCCUCGAGUCGGCCAGCGAAGAAUCACAUUAGACUUGUCACCAAAUACAAGUUUACGUGAACCGCCAGGCCGAAAUCGCAAACGACCGGCGAAUAACUAUACUGUCCCGAAUAACCAGCAGGGGAAAGCAGACGACCCAGCUUGACAGUUGGUCGCUAAGCUCGGAACAGACCGCCCCUCCCGCAAAGAUAAGGGCAAAGCAGUCAUGAGGGACGAUGGACUGUUCCCCGUUGAAGAUCCCCAGCCUAUGAGUCCCAGGACUCGAGAAGAGCUGGAAAGGAGGAUAGAGCGUCUCGAAACGUUCGUCUAUACACAUUGGGCAGAGGCGGUACCUUCUUCCCCUGCCACAAGUGAGAUAGACAUGUCAGACUCCAGUGGUGAGCGUCACAACAACGAGGCCUCGAGCCCUCGUAAAGGCGUCCUAACCGACCCCUAUAUUCCCCCGACGUCCAAAUUAGCAAUCAAGGAUGGAGUCUGGUACACACAGCAAGGGGGCAAGGCAGUUACCAUCAGCAGGGCUAAGAAGCGAAAGCUCCAAAAGCGAUACGGUAGUAUCCUACGUGCCUUACGGGCUGUCGAAGAGGGCGCUGUACGCCCCUCACAGCUCGCACAGACGCCUGAGCGGAUGUGGAGGGAAGCAGAGGGUUUGCGCGCAUUCCUUCAAAUGCCGCCUGUCACACCCCUAAGGAUUUGCGAGCAGUUCAGCGACGAGCCUGCACCCAAAGCAAACGUCUUUUGCCGACUCGCGGUUCCACCAAAGCAGGAUCCACAGCCUUCCAGGCACAGGCCAUCAUCAGAACCUGAAAGAAGAAAAGAUCCAUAGCCUUCCAGGCGCAGGCCAUCACCAGAACCUGAAAGAAGAAGGGAUCCACAGCCUGCUAGGCCCAAACCGUCACCAAAGCCUGAAAAGAGGAGGGAUCAACAGCCUUCCAGGCGCAGGCCGCCACCGGAGCCUGAGCGGAGAGAGACUCCGCCUACCGGUCCUAGGCGUAAGCUGUUCACAACCCCGGACCCAGAGUCCAAACGCGAACCGUCUCAGCCCUCACGGUAACGGGAACGUCAAAAUCCGGAGGCCAAUAUCAGAAGGGAGCCACCACCACCACAGCAGCCUCGGGCACGGUCUACCCCGGAGCCCGAGACUCAGAUGAUUCCCAGAAUAUCCGUCCUACAACGGUUGAAAAAAGAAGACAACGAUAAGGCUUCUCUGGCAACAGACAAACAACUGGCCAAGGACCAUCAGCCUUCAACCAAGUCAGUAUGGCGUCCGCGGCAACCCGAGGUUCAAGAGCCACCAAUAGCCGCACAGGCGCCCGCCAGUCCUAACCUCGCCCAACAAAUGGCCCAGCGUUUCCGCGAGAAUUCAGAAGACGACGAGGCACAUUCAGAACCUCGACUUGACCUAGAGGAAGACCGGGACGAAGAGCAGGCAGAAUCAUUCACCUGUAAUAUAGUAGAGGUCUCAGGAUGGGAUGCUGAUGAAGGGUUUAGCAGCGAAGCAGACGCUUUCGCGGUACUCGAAAGGGAACACGGGAUCAUUGACACUCCUCUAGUCCCAGUUCCUGAACAAUUCUCCUUUCAAGUCGGAAUGGUGUUCUUCAUUUCGGAAAGAUACGCUCUCCCACCAAACACAACCUGCAGUGCGGCAGCUAUUCCCGUCAGCAGCGAGGAUGUCAGUAGCAUACCCCCGCCAUGCAGCAGCGAAAUGGGCCCAGUUCUGGCACAGGCCGACGACGCCCCACAGGUGGAAAUUACGAGCAGCAUCAAACACAAGCAAACUCUAACCUUCUCCACACCAACUUUAGACAUGGCCACCCACAUGCGGCCACUGUAUAUCACGGCCGAAGUCGAAGGGAAAAUGAUCAACAAGGUCAUGGUCGACACCGGUGCCGCGGUCAAUGUUGUCACAACCCGUACCAUGGGACUCCUAGACAUUCCGCGCUCGAUGAUCCAAACCACGUCAUUAACAGUCAAGAACUUCACCGGGCAAGUGUCUAGAACCCUAGGCUUGCUAUUCCUACGGGUCAAGGUCGGGCCGGCAUCACGGGUUUACACCUUUUUCGUCGCCGAAUGCGCUUCCUCUUACAGCAUGAUUCUUGGCCGAGAUUGGAUCCACAAAGUUUUUGCGUGCCUUCCUCCAUGCACCAAGAACUCAUGAUUUGGGACGCCGAGAACCGUGAAGCGGUCAUCAUCAAAGCUGACCCACGGCCAUUCUCUAUCUCCGCCAACUUCAACGAUGCCCGAUAUUAUACUACAGACUUGGGUCCUUGGAUGUUCAAGGCGUCGAUAACAAGGGCCGCCCAUAUGGAAUCACGGCCUCCAAUUUAACGCGAUGGGGACUUACCCAGGCGAAGGACGACUUGCAACGUCCUCACACCAUCGCGAAUCCCACACCCCGGUCUGAUGAAUAGUGCCUUCUCAGAGGAGGCACGCGAGGCUGGCGAGUCCUUGUGCGAAAGACUCNNNNNNNNNNNNNNNNNNNNNNNNNNNNNNNNNNNNNNNNNNNNNNNNNNNNNNNNNNNNNNNNNNNNNNNNNNNNNNNNNNNNNNNNNNNNNNNNNNNNNNNNNNNNNNNNNNNNNNNNNNNNNNNNNNNNNNNNNNNNNNNNNUAUGUAGAUGAAGUGGUGGAUUAUUCCGAUACCAAGGAGGAAGUUAUUCACUUAGCUCCCGCCGCCUUGGACGACACACCACCUCAAGUCCGCGACCCCAUUUCACAAGUUGACGUAGGGACUGCAGAAAAGCCCUUACUUAUUUCUAUCAGUGCUAAGUUGGCGGAAGACGAAAAUGAAGCCCUUCUUGCCCUGUUAUGCGAGUACAGGGAUUGCUUCGCCGACAAGUACGAAGAUAUGCCAGGCUUGUCCCCGGACUUGGUCUGCCACCGGUUACCAACUUAUCCCGACCGACGUCCAGUACGGCAGGACGGCCGGUUCAUGCGAACUGAGACUCAGAUCGUAGUCAAGGAAGAGAUCGAAAGCAUGCAUCGAUCGGGCAUCAUUCGCGUGGCAAAAUAUAACGAGUGGCUAUCCAAUGUUGUCCCCGUCCGUAAGAAAAAUGGCAAGAUGCGCGUCUGUGUUGAUUACCGCGACCUGAACAACGCAACACUGAAGGAUAUCUACCCCAUGCCUGUGGCUAACCUACUCAUUGAUGCCGCCGCGGGGCACGAGGUGUUAUCCUUUAUGGAUGGAACGGCCGGAUAUCAUCAAAUUCCCGUCGCUGAGGAAGAUCGACAUAAGACCGCUUUCCGCUGCCCUGGUUUUGCCGGCGCGUUCGAGUACGUUGUCAUGCCUUUCGGACUUAAAAACGCAGGGGCAACGUACCAGCGCGCCAUGAACCUCAUCUUUCAUGACAUCUUGGGGAAGUUGAUCGAAGUAUACAUCGACGAUGUGGUAGUCAAAACCAAAACACGGGCAACCCACGUUGAAGACCUGCGGUAGGUGUUUACACGGAUGCGCCGGCAUAACCUGAAGAUGAACCCCGCCAAGUGUGUUUUCUUCGCGGAGGCCGGCGAUUUCCUUGGUUUCCUAGUGCAUCAAAGAGGCAUCGAAAUCCCAAAGGACAAGGCACAGGCGGUAAUCACCGCUUCACCCCCCAACACAAAGAAGGAGCUUCAACAGCUGCUUGGGCGAAUCAACUUUCUCCGCCGUUUCAUAUCCAACGCGGCAGGGAAGGUCCAACCUUUUUCACCCCUCCUCAAGUUUCAGGGGGCAACCGAGUUCGUUUGGGAACCACAACAUCAACAGGCCUUCGAUCGCAUCAAGGACUACCUUACGAACCCACCAGUCCUGAUCCCACCUCGCGACGGUACCCCGCUUAAACUUUAUAUCGCCGCUGCCGACUUGUCCAUCGGCAGACUCCUGGCCCAAGAUGAUGUGAACGGGGUAGAACACGCUGUCUACUACCUUAGCAGGGUGUUAACAGAGUGUGAGACACGAUACUCACCUAUGGAGAAGUUGUGUCUUACCCUAUAUUUUGUAGGGUUCAAGCUGCGCCAUUACAUGCUUGCCUUUACCACGGUUGUGAUCGCUCAAUCCGACUUGGUCAAAUACAUGCUCUCUCGCCCUAUCUUGCGGGGAUGCAUCGGCAAGUGGAUACUAAGCAUGUCCGAAUUCUCGUUGCAAUAUGUUCCGCAAAAGGCAGUAAAAGGACAGGCAAUAGCAGACUUUCUCGCUCAUCACCCACCCUCAGAGCUCACGGUGUUUCGUGAGUUGGAAUUCGCUACCGUGACACUCGCUCCAUGGACCCUGUACUUUGAUGGUUCGCGGACUGACACCGCAGCCGGAGCUGGGAUAGCCAUAGCCAAUCCCGCCGGAGACCGCUUCUCCUACUUGUUCCAGCUCGAUUUCAAAUGUACCAACAACCAGGCUGAGUACGAGGCGCUGAUCAUCGGCCUAGAGAUUUUGUUGGAUUUAGGAGUCUGCGAGGUUCAGAUCUUUGGCGAUUCUUUGUUGGUCGUCAAUCAGCUGGUAGAAAAGUUUAAGUGCUUAAGCUCGUCAAUUGAGCCAUACCUGCGCAAGGCAUUUGAGGUGUUGGAUCGAUUUGACGACGUCUACAUCGAGCACAUACCACGCGAGUUCAACUUCGCCGCCAACGAGCUCGCCCAAGUAGCGUCCGGUCUCAGCCUACGCGACGGCGUGCGCGAACGUUUGCUCAAAGUCGAACGCCGUACGCUUCCCUCUUUCAUCGCUAGGGGGCAAUUUCAGGCCGACACCCCCGAAGUUGCGGCCUUGGACCCUAUCGACGAGGAUUGGCGGCUACCAUUUAUCGCCUACCUCCAGAACCCCAACGACGCCGCUCACUCCAGGCAAAUAAGUUUCCUCGCCUUAAACUUUGUUUUACGCAAUGGCGAACUCCGGCGGCGUGGGGAAGAGGGAAACGAUUUCCGCUGCGUGUAUGGGAACGAAGCUAAACGUAUCAUGCGCGAAGUCCAUUGUGGGGUUUGCGGUUCGCACCAGGCCGGGCCCAAAAUGCGUUGGUUAAUCCGUCGCCAUGGGUACUACUGGCCAACCAUUCUGAAAGACUGUAUUGCAUUCGCCAAAGGUUGCCAAGACUGCCAGGCUCACGGACCAGUGCAACAUAUUCCCAACAUCCCGUUGCAGCCUAUCAUUAAACCUUGGCCGGGUCGCGGUUGGGCGAUAGAUUUCGUUGGCAUCAUUCAUCCCCAUUCUUCUGAGCAGCAUAAGUUCAUUAUCGUCGCCACCGAUUUCUUUACCAAAUUGGUCGAGGCCGAACCACUCAAGGUUGCCUCCGCCAACUCGGUGCGCAACUUUAUUUUCCGCAAUAUCAUUUCCCGCUUUGGUAUCCCGGAGUGCAUCGUUACGGACAGGGGGGCAGCUUUCAUGGCUGAUUCAGUUGUUAAGUACUUACACGACUACGGCAUCAAGCUCCUCCACUCUACGCCAUAUUAUGCACAGUCCAACGGCCAGGCGGAGGCUAGUAAUAAGGUUAUCCUCGGCAUCCUCCGCAAGAUGUUGGAGUUAAACCCGCGUGUCUGGCAUGAGGAACUCUACCACACCUUGUGGGCUUACCGCACUUCAAAGCGCGGUCCGACGGAUACCACCCCGUAUGCUCUCAUGUACGGUCACGAUGCCGUCCUUCCCCUUGAGAUCAAUAUCGCUUCACUCCGCGUUCAGGAACAGCAUCAACUACUUGGCGAGGAUUAUGUCCAAGCUAUGUGGCAGGAACUUGAAGAUCUCGACGAGCACCGCGUCACCGCUUUCAACAAUCUCGUCCUCGAGAAACAACGCAUCGUACGUUCGUAUAAUAAGGUCACGCGCGGACGGAGCUAUGCCGAGGACCAAAAAGUGUGGCGCGCGGUACUCCCACUUGGGGACAAAACCGAUGGUCGGGGCAAGUGGUCCGCUCGAUGGGAAUGCCCCUUUAUUAUUCAUCGUAUACUCCCCAAGGGGGCAUACCAUCUGCGCGACUUGGACGACACCAUUCAUCGCAAUCCUAUUAAUGGCCGCUUCCUCAAGCGCCACAUUGCAGGAAUUUGGGAACGCGAGGAUCCUCCACCUCCCCCAGACCCCGUCACCACAGUCAAUAGUGCUACACGCCAUCGCGUUCUCGCUCCGCCGCCUAACACUAGGGGGCAAUCCGGGAUAGACGACUGAUAGAGUACGUUGUAACAUACCAGCCUAAAAAGGCCAGUGUAAGAUUGGGGCCUAUUCCAGAGGCCCUAAAUAAGGAUAACUCUAUUUUUCUUCAUUUUCUGUAAACGUGCAAAGUCUAAACACAAAGGCCAGUACAAGAUUGGGGCCUAUUCCAGAGGCCCUAAAAAACAAUAAAUUUAUUUAUUUUGCCCUUUUUGGCGUUGUUUCAAUACAAGUUUCGAACAUCGGAUUUGCGGCCGGAGCGACUACAUUGACAGAAAGGGUGAAAUUAAGCUAUGUUUACAAACGAAGGCAUAGGUCUACAGAUAUUGGAGGCCUCAACCCGCAUAUCUUGCAGGGUUGAAGAAGAGACUGCCACCGCAUCCUUCGUUUAAAGUUGGCAAACGUCCCGCUUCUUUAGACCAGCUCGAGCCUUAACACCGGCCUGGACCUAAGACAAAUUGUUGGGAAGCUAGAGGUCCACUAGACCAGGGUCCCUCAUGCUACCGGUCACGCCUGGAAGGUGCUUGAAAGGCACUAACCAGAACCUGAAGCGCAAGCAGAUGCGGAGCCUCGAGAGUCUCACGUUUGGACAGAACAGCCGGUGCAAGGCAGGAGGUACCCAACCAUUAGUUCGUCCAAACAAAGGCUUGACCUGAGAGUAGAUUUUCAAAAUCACUCCCGGCUUGAGAGCAGAUUUUCAGAAUCAGAAAAAAUGAAGAGUGAAAAUGUGAGGUCGGGGCUUUGCUUUAAGAAAGGACAAGAGGAUGUAUAGAAGGGUAUAAGAGCCCAUGGCAAGGGGGCAAAGACUUAACUGGUACUUCGCCCCGGCCAAGCGUUUCUUUUUAUAGGCGAGUAGGGCGAUUUUCCUUUCAACAGAUGUCAUCCAUGCAGCGAUUUGCUCCGAGAUAUGAGCUUUGGAGAUAAGGUCGGACGCGUUGUUCCAUAAUGACUACCCGCGUUCCAAGCGAAUAGUUGCAUUGGAAACCCCCACCAAAUCUUGGAAGAAGAUUUUUUCCUGGGAAGGCAGUUCUUACAACGAGAAUUGACAAGAGCGGGAAAGAUUUAAUUUAAUAAUAAUAUUAUAAAAGGUUCGUACAAAGGGGGCAAAGCGCUGAUCGGGCCUAAACCCGCCUAGAGGCCCUAUACAAAUCUAUGAGAAGGCCUUCUAAGGCCAACUCUUCAACAUCUGCCUGGGCUUGGGCUUCGUCGGCAGCAGCAGCAGCCGAGUCCAAAGCUUCCUGGGUCUCUUCCGCGGCAUGCACACGGGUUUCUGCCUCUUCAGCUAGGGCCAGGUUCUGGCGAGCUUGAGCAAGCUGAGCUUGCAGCUCCGCUAUCUGAGCCUCCAGGUCCUCCACUUGCCGAGCAUAGACAGUGCAUGGGCUCUCUGACGAUGCCUCAGGGAUUUCAGCGUCAUCAAGCUCGGCUAAAAGGGCUGUCAUCUGAUCGUCUAAGGCUUGGCGGACUUUCUCGUGAGCAGCCGACUGGGCACCGACAUCUUGAACUCGGUGAGCCUGCAGCUCGACAGCGUCGGUGAGUUCCAACACAUGGUCUAGAGCAGGGUUGCUCCCAGCGAGGUGCCGAAUCAGAGCUUCAUGGACCUCGUGGGCGCGCCUCACCAAGUCAAAUACGUUCAUGUGGGGACCUUGGCGCAGUAACCCGUGAAAGAAAGCCCGGGCCAGGCGAAUGGGCUCUGGAUCGGCAGGCGGGGUAAUCCGGGCCCGAAGACGAGCGGUCCGGGUAGCCAAGGAAGAAGCCGCCUCGCUAGAUGUUCUCGUUGGGGCCGGAGUGGUUGGUUCAACCUCUGCAACUGCCUCAAUCUCUGGAACGGACGGUGGGACCUCAAACCGAGUAGGGACUGUCGGUUCUUCGGUGGUCUGAGCCGCUGAGUCUGGUUGUAGAGGAGAGAGCUCAAGCACCGGUUGGAAGUCCUUUGGCGGAACCGCCGAAGGGGCAGCAAAGUCAGAAAGCCGGGUGGACUGGCCAAGAUCUUCAUCUUAAGCGGGAGCCGAGGUAAGCUCUAGAGGCGGGCCGGUUUCGCCUAGAGAGUCGGUUGGAGAAUGGGGUCGCACGGCGACUUCCUCGGUAACUAUGGUUUGAUCCCCGACGAUUGGUUCCGGGGUUGGGACUUCAACUAUCGCUGUUGCUCCUUCAUUGACAGCGAGGCGAGGUCGGAUGAGGCGGCGAACCUGUCAAGGGCAAAGUUAGCAAGUCGUUUGUUGGCUUUGAGGAGUUUGGUUCGAAGAAGGGUCGCUUACCAAGGCGUGCUCUUGCCGAUAUCGUUCAUCCUCUAGCAGCUCUUCUUCGUCCUCGAUAGGGCGCUUCCGCGAGCUUUCGCCGCUCGUUGGCCGGGUAACGAUGGGAGCGGCCUCACCGUCAUGACCCGCCGAGGUUUCCUCUUGGGCAGGUACUUUCCCUUUGUCUCCGGCAUCCUCGGGUCUUCUGAUAGUUCUCCGGCAGGGGGCAGACUGUAAAGAUAGACAGGAAAGUUAGGAGGAAGCAUUUCGUCGAGGUGGUAAAGGCGGUAUGGAAUUUACACAGUUAGUGGCAUACCUCGGGUGCGGGAUCGCGUUCUCGAAUGACGAUCCCCGUCGAGCGACGAGUAGCGGGAACCGGUGGGAGCGCAGGCCUAGACCCUGUCGUAGCCUUUGAACCGCUCUCUUCACGGUCGCGCUGGGCAUCAAGGAUGACGCGGUCUGACUCGCCCAGAGUGUCGUAUAGAGGAUAAAAGAUGGCAGCGAAGACAGCAUCAUCUGGGAACCCCCAAUGGUUGUCGGACAAGGAUCGCCACCAAGAAAGAUAGGCGGGGUCAACACCCAGUGAAGGCUCAAUCUCGAGCAAGUCAGGAGUGAGAGGGAAAAUGUUCUGCAACGGUUUGACCCGGUCGGACUCGCCAAUCUUCCUCCAGGAGGUGUACUUGUUCACCGAAUGGAAGAGUGGAUAAGGGAUCCCUUGAGAGAAGCCAAGUUGUCUGGCGAAUUGCUUGGGGGCAUACAGCUCGAAGCCUUGUUCAUCCUCGGCGAGCUGAAAGUCGCAGCAUGAGGAUGCUCUCAUGAAGACGGUCUUGGCGUCAGAGUCCGAGUCAGAGCGAGGGAAGAAGCCCGUUGAUAAGACUUCAGGAUGGCGCCGGCGAACCAUCAUGUCUAUGGUGGGAGGCGGUUCGAGUUGGUUGUACAGGAUGGAGAGGCUGGCGAAGAAGGACAGGGGAGUCCGGUUCGCAGCGUUCUUGCACACCGCGAAGCCGAGCAGUUGGUCCUCGGGCAGAAAUUCCAGCGGGGCUCGCCGAAAGAGCUGGAAGUACAGCUGUGUCCACAAGUCCAGGAUCCAUAGAGGGCCAGCAGAGAGAUGGAAGGGUCUUAGGGACAGCAUGUGCAGGGUCCGGUAGAGCGCGCCCAGCACGGGUGAUAAGACGUAUUUGCACACGCAUCAAUUAACCCUGUCAACAAAUCAAUCGUAGUAUAAAGCAAGCAGGGAUCGUUCUAAACCGGGGAUCCAACUACAGGGUAGAUCCAUCUAAUCUAAUGUAAGUAUCGAAAUAAGCAUAUAGGUUUAAAGGUUUUAUGAUUUCGGAACAAUAUUAAUAAUAAAUCCUAAAUUACUUCUAUACAUAUAUACAUGUGAUCAACCAACAUUCAUGCAAACUCAACCAAACAACCAUGUAAGAACAAAAGAAGACGAUUUCUAAUCUCAUUUAAGUCUACACCGUGAGCAAAUAUACAACCUAAAUUUGAUAUGCACAUAAGUUCCUACGUGGUUCCUAUGACAUAGACCAACUUAGAAUUAGACUACGGGUUUCAUUCAACAUCACGACACAACAAGCUCGGCUACAUGCUCUACUUAUUGGUCACACACAUAAACUAAUCAUGCAAUUACGUAUCACAUAAAGAAUUUGAUGUGUUUAAGCACAAGUCCAAAUCAAACAUAGGUAGAAAAUCGGUGAAAAACAAAGACAAUGCAACUUAUCAACUACGUGUAUCAAAGUCGAACUUUGAAUGAUUAACACAUGCAAUAUCAACUACUUGUAUCAACUACACAUGAUAAUGGAAAAUGCACCGAAAAUCUUAAAGUAUAUAAAACUCACGGACAUAAAACCUCAAAUCAUUGAUUAUAAAUUGUAAACUUUAAUUCAUAACAUGGCUCAAAAGUACUUCUAUCUCAUAGACAAGAUUCGAAACAUACUUAAGCAAAUACCUAAAGCAAACAAAAACAAGAACAAACACAUAGCAAUCCGAAAAUAGAAGAUGAAAUACACUCUCAAAAUAUCCCUACUUGUUCUAUUCUUCGAGUGCGCGGAGUCCUAGGCUACGUGCUUUGGACAAAUGCUGAAGGUGGGAUCGGAUUGUGGUGUUUGGAGGUUGAUGGAGUUUCGGCAAAGGAUUUGGUGUUAUUUGCACGGGUUGAUGAUGAUCUUCUGUCCUUGAAGUCGUGCUUUAUAUAGAGGAAAAACCCUAGAGAAGUCGGCCACAAAGCCUAAACCAAAUUGGUUUAGGAUUCCUAGUUUUUCUCCCUUUCGGUAGAAUGACCUCCGUCUGAUGAUUGCGUCAUAACUCCCUCUAGAAAACAGAUAUUGAGGUGAUUCCAAUUGAUUUGGAAACUAGACUCCCGUAGCUUUCUAUCCAUAUCUGGCACGUUUUCUGAUUCAUUGUGAGCUAUCCUGGAGAGUCCGUUGAAGUUGACAGACGUGCACAGGAAUUCUCCCGAUUUAAUCCGGAUUUUCAAGGGCUUGGAUAUUCUUGAAAUUCUGCCGAAUUUAGAUCUUCUUCUCCAUAUUGGACUUGGUUUGGACCUCUCCUUCAUGGACUAGGCUUCGAGGAAAGAUGGAAUCUUGAUCAAGACAGGAAUCCUGAGUAAACAAGGGUUUCCAACACUCAGCACAAUUUCAACACCAAAUUAUUCAAAUCCGAAAAUACUAUGUAUUCUAAUACUAAAAACUACAUAUUUCUAAAUUAAGCAAUUAUUCUACACUAAACACAAAUAUAAAGCUAAAACAACUAAAUAGGAGUUAACAAAGGGUAAAUAAAGGGUAUAAACAUAUUAAGAACGUCACACUUUGUGCUCCUAUCAACGGGCUGCCCUAGCCCUACUUCGAUCCCAUUGUAGAGUGUCUCGGCCAGCUUGGUCCAUUUCCCUGUAGGCUUGUGAGCACUGCCACAGAAUAUGAAUUUAUCAAGCCAAUACUCAAGGAAGGCGAUACCUCCUUCGUGUUGUUCUGAAUGGCCGAUGUAGAACUUCCUCCAUACUCCAUACGAGCCUUUCAGGGCGCGGCGGGCCCCCAAGUUGCAGGAGUGCGUAAACUCGGUCAAUGCAAAGUCGCCUGGCGCAUAUGGCUUUGCAUGAAUCGACAGCCCGGUGAUGGCGAGGAUGUCCAGCAGAGAAAUGCCCAUUUACCCGAAGGGGAAAUCGAAGGUGUUGGUGGCACUGUUCCAUAAGCAGGCCGCGGCAGCAAUGGGUGCUCGAUCAGCGUGAGGAGGCAGCGAGAAACUCAAAGCAAUGGCUUCGUUGAUGCCGGUCGCUUCCCAGAUCGCUUGAUCGGUCUAGAGGCGAGCCGCGUACCAUGCCCGGUCCUCCGCGGUGACGCUGGGCCAUUCCCCGACCCGGAUAUUUGUAUGAGAGCGGGCUUGGUGAAACCAGGAGGCGAAGUUUUCCGGUUCGCGACGUUGGGCAAGGAUUGGUCGGCGCACAGAGGCGGUAUAGUGGUUCAGAUCAGCGGUGGACGGAGGUUGUGAAGGAGUCGAACCGAGCAGGGCUGCCCCUGUUUCAAGGAAAUAAAUGGGUGUUCCUUGAGGUGGGUUGUUAGCAAAACGACGAGCGAGGCCGGUCGACCAAGAGCUCGCCGCCGUAAGGUUAAGGUUUGGAUCAUUAGCAGUUGGUUUGGGAGCCAUUGUUUCUGGUCGGAGUGAGUCCCGUGGUGAAGUUUGGUUGGUUGCAGAAGAAAGGGAGAAGACUGGUUGGAAAGCGAUGGUGAGAUGUGGGGACCCGCAUCGAGGCUUAUAAAGGAGACGGACCGUAACGUCUUUUCAAUCAGUAGCCGUAAUGAGGAGACGCGAUGACGACCGAAACGUCAGCACAUUUCAAAUUUCAAACAGCCGCAAUGAUGAAGGGAGGCGACGAUGUCGAAACGUCAGCACCUUUUGAAUUACGAAUUCCCGUAAAUGGCUCAUUUAGGCCUUUUCGCUUAUCCGUUGCGAAAUGGAUUAAGCUCAAGGCCUAGGGGGCAAUGUUUAAGCCCAGUAGGUAUUUUUGGUCCAAGACUCGGGGUACGUUUUUGAUAACAUUUCGGCCAGUACCUGUGGCCAUUUUUUAAUGCGAAACCCACGAAGGGUGGCGAAGUCUGGCAACACGCGAGCUGGAGUUUGGCAAAGAUUCCGAUACCCCGCGGGAUUCGAUGUCCUCGCGGGAUCCUUUGUUUCAGUUCGUGUAGGAUUCUGCAGUACAUGGCGAGGUAGAGUUGGAAAUGGGCUGUAAUACUCCGCGGGAUAGGAUCGCUUAGUGUUCGAGUUCGCGUACGACGCUACAGUGAGGUGAUGCGGGGCAGUGAGCAAGACCUAGGCGAAGUCUGUUUUGGACACGUGUUGCAUGGAUCGCGCGGCUCGCGAGCUGGUCGUUUCCUGGUGGAAUUCUAAUUGCUGAGGCCAAAUAGAUUUGUGAUUAGGUCUCUGCGAAUUGCUUGCGGAUCGCUAUAUAAGGGAGCUUGACACAACGAACAAGGGACACAAUCAAUCAUACAAAACAACUGCAAAUCUUCGAGCAUCCUCGAAACCCUAAGUUCUAAGUGUACCUCGCCUUAGAUUUCAGAGCCCGUCUGGACUCGCCUCUCUUUCCCAAUUGUUGCUCUGCUCGCUUCGAACAGCGAGUAUCGAUUCACAGGUGACUAGAUAGUUUGCUCGUAAUUCCUUGCCCGCGAGGUGACACCGGAGCUCUACUUCGCCUGAUUAGAAGUCAAGAACGCGCACCGUUCUCGUUCCGCGUCCGCGAGGUGGCACGCCCUGCAAACCCUAAUUUACUUUUGGUAGCACAAGUUACCUCUCUACCCCUGCUGAGGAUCGUGGCCAAAACACAGCCAAAGGUAAUGCCACCCAACUUGUAUAGCAAAUUAUUUAACCCCAAUAAUGAUGCCCAUGCCAGAGCUCCACCGAAAAAGAGGAUGGCCUAAACCUUGGUAUUGCAUCAUGAUAAACACCCCAGAACCAGGAUUACCUAUCUAUAGAUCGACAAGCCUUCAGUAUUCAGCUUGAUCCACAAUGGUUAAGAAAGCUUCUAUUCUCCGGCAAGGCACCAACAAAUACUGUAGUAGAAGGGAUGAAGACACUAAAUCACAAAGUGUUUUACAAUUUUGUACGAAUUUGUUUAUGAUGAAUUGAUUAUAACCAUUGCGCGCAGUUGUUGUUGAAUCACAAUGCUGUUUCUUGUGCUUGGAGAAACAAUCGUAUAAUUCGUAUUAUUGAUUAAAGAAAACACUAUACGAUAAAUUCCAAACAACAUGCAAAAUAGAUUACUAGGGGCAACUUUUCUUUCUCGCCGUUAGGUCCACUUAAGCGUGAAGAAAAUCAAGAUCGAUUAAGGGUCCUCAACUCUUCGAUUAGAGCAUUCAAAUCCGAGAGAGAUGAACCGCCUUCGUCAACAGCCCUGCUUGCCAUCUCUUUAAGCGCUUUAACUCUGUCUCUGAUGUCCUUUGCUUCAUUACCUUCCGUGAUUCUUGUUACAGCCUUCUCUAUGGCCUCCCUCUUCACACUGGCCUCGCGCUUCAAACUUUCAUCCACAAAUGAAACCCAUUUUUCAACACCAAGACCAACCCCAACAUGAAGUAUUUGCGUCACCAACUUCUCAAUGAAAAAGUUAUCAGCAGACACCGGCCAUGUGAUCAUCGGUAUCCCAGCAGAGACUGCUUCAAGGAUUGAGUUCCACCCACAAUGAGAGAGAAAAGCUCCAACUGCUUUACGCUGUAGGAUCAGCACUUGAGGAGCCCAAUCUCUUAUAAUCAGUCCCUUACCUUGCAUUCUCUUUUCAAAUCCUUCAGGCAACCACUCUUCUAUCUCUUUCCUUUCUUUCUUCACAACCCAAAUGAAGUCUUGUCUAGAAGCCUCAAGGCCUGCUGCAAUUUCUAGGAGUUGACUAUCUGCAAAGAUGGUCUGGCUUCCAAAACAUACAUAUACAACCGAAUUGGGUGUCUUAGAAUCAAGCCACUUCAAGCAUUGGUGUUGCUCGGCAGUGGCCAUAUCUUCUGCUUCCUUGUCGGCUAAGGAAACCGGGCCAAUAUGCCAUGUCUUCAUCCCAUACACUUUCUUGUAAUGAUCAGCAUAAUCUGGUUCAAGUUCAUAGAAGGUGUUAAAAAUGGCCCCAUAGCUCCUUUUCUCACACUCUAUGGCAGUUAUCCAGAACUUGCUCGCUUCUGCUUCAUCAUCUAGCUUAAAAGCAUCGGCAAUUUGGUUUCUUGUCAUCUUGACCUCAUCUGAAAGACCAGGAAUGACAAAAGAUUCUGUUUCAGAUAACACUCGCUUGUGAGGUUUAUGUAUUACCACACUUAUCGCAGCACACAUAGAGAACAAUCCGGUUGCAUGAAAAUAUAGCCUUGGAAUUCCAAACUUGGCAGCAACAUCUGUAGCCCAAGGAAAGAACAAAUCAGCAACAAGGCAAUGAGGUCGAUGUUGGUCCAGUAUCUGCUCGAGCUGUGGUUCAAGCUUACGGAUGGCUCUGAAGAAUUUCCCUUCCAUCUCUGGUGUUGUGAUCAUAUCAGCGCUCUCGCAUUCCUGAGGCAACCCAACUUCAGCAGUUGGGAACUUGAUGGACUUAGAGGCAGACACUAACCUAGAACACUUAUUGUGCAUGGAGAUAUCACAGUCAUCAUCCUCAAAGAACUCAUCUAACUCAAUAGAGGCAACAAGAGCUAUAUUCUCAUCAUCAUGAUCGGAGAAUUGCUCGGAAUUACUAUCACUCCAAGACACCUUAAAAGCUUUGUGGGAUUUAUUCUUCCUACUUGGACAUUCAACAGAUCUAUGUCCGACACCACCACACUCAUAGCACUUAUCACUUUUCUGAAAGGUUUUAGGCUUGGGAGUCCUAUCGCCUGUGGUAUCACUAGGUUUAGGAUUCCUAGAAGCUGAUCCUCGGGAGGGAUAACGACCAACAGGGAAAGACCUUCUCUUCCUAAGCAACUUAUCAAACUGUUUAGUUAGGUAGGCAAUCUCAUCCAAACUAUCCUCAAGAACCUCCGGUUCCUUUUCUUUCUCAUCUACCUCAUUGACAGUGGAUAAUGCUAUGGUCUUUUCCUUCCUAGACUUCNNNNNNNNNNNNNNNNNNNNGUUUGCUGUGAGACUAAGUUGUGUAAAUAAAAAGGCGAGUACUGAAAGUAAAGAUAUAACACCAGUACGUUUUUUAUACGCAGAAACCCUGCAACCAGGGAGAAAAACUGCGUGCCUCUAACUCUUGAGAGACAAACUAUUCCACUAUUGUAAAGACACUUCUUACAAGACUCACAACUCAGAGGAUGGCACAACACCUAGCCAUCCUGCCUAGUCUAACUACUAGCACACAACUGAACUUGCUCUCUUGUCACUCAAGUGUUUUACACAUAGCUCGAAUCUAAGCUUCUAUGCAGAAUUCAACUAACACCUUUAGCUAAUUCUCAAGGACAGCUUACAACUUGCUUCACACGAACUUAACUAACUCCUUAGCUAAUUCUUUAUGAAGACUUCUCCGGGUUGCAUCACCUAAACAACUCUCAAGGUAUGCAUGAACAAUGAACAAUGAAAUGGGUUUUGAAAAUGUUUUGAUGCUCAGCUCUAAGAUUUAUAAUCAACAAGGAAGACUUAGAGCAAAGGAGCAAAGAAGCAAUAAUGCUAAGACUCAAAGGGAGAAAAUGCAAAUGACAAUUUUCAACAACCAAGGAGCAAGAGAGGUCUUGCUCUCUAUUUAUAGACAAAGUGCACAGCUAUGAGGAAGCAAGCAAGUUUGCCACAUCAACAAGAUUCUUUUGGACUCUAGCUACUUGUCUGGAAUACUAGGACGGAUAGGACCCUAGGGAUCCCUCCACUCACAAGACAAAAGCUGAGAAUAGACUUUCCUAGGAAAGACUAAAGCCAAAAGGAUAAGACAAAAGGUUUUGGGAAAACUAGAUCAGAUUUAGUCAAGCAUAAAGACUCUACAAAACCACUUUAUCUAAGAGGACACUUAGGACAGCUGAUAGCUUGGGCGGUGCAUCACAUGGGCAGCUGUCAACUUGGUUUUUGAAUCACAAAACCCAGCUGGUUCCCAAAGGCUCAAGUUAUGUGGUCACGGGUUGGUUUGCCACACCACCCUAGACUAACUUGGAGCUCAAGUACGAAUAGACUAAUGUUUUGCUAAAAAGUAUUUGAAUUUCAAACACUUAAAAAUUGAAGCAAACACAUUUGAAUAUGCACAUGGUCAGACCCAGUAGAUAGAACAGAUACAGCAGGGGUAUCCGUUUAAUCGGGAUGGCAAGCACGGCUGCCAUCCUUAGUGAAUGAAUGUGAUGCACAUGCAUGAACUACCUGAUGCACAUGAGAUCUGUCAGAUUCUUCAUUCUUCACUUGAGUAGUCCUUGCUACCAGACUACAACAUGUAGCAUGUAUCCUUGUGUUUUGAUCAUAAAGGGAUAGCCAACAAUUCUUGUACCAACAGAAGCAUUCGCAAGAUUUGAGGAAUCCACAAGGUUAAAUUCUUCAAAGGAAGCAUCCCUUUCUAUGUAAAUAAAACUGCGUUUCGGUGCAUCAAUCUUGAGAUUGGUAAAACCAUCACAGUCAAACAAGGUCAAUCUCUCAAGUAGAGGACUGCAACCAAUCAAGUUCUCAAACACAUCUUGGGCCAUAGUAACCCUCUGAAAAGAAAGGGUCUUCAAACUCCUGAAGCCUUUGCAUGUGGACGGAUGAGAGUUAAGCAAACACCUGUAUAAUUCCAAAUAAACAAUAUCUUGACAAGAAAACAAACAUGAUGGAAUGUUGUAGGGAUUCCCUCUCCAAUUAUCUAGUAUCAAUUCUUUGAUGACAGGGUUUCUAGAUAGAUGAAAAAUCCAUCGAUCCAUGUCUCUAGUGGCUAGCUCAUCUAUGCGAGAAAGCUUGAACUUGUGUAUGGGGCCAGUGUGAAGUAAGAGUACAUGAUCAACUAUAUUCACAAAGCUGCAGGUUGCAAUUAGAUGACUUCGAGUGGAGACACACUGAUCAUCAAACACUAGAUCUUGAAGCUUUUCCGAUUUGUACCUCCACUUUCUGGAUAAAACACUUGUCCUUACUGCCUCCUUAAGUGGCAAACCUGACAAAAUCUUCUCUGUAACAUCGUUCGGUAAACUGCUAAUUCUAUCCAACUCCAUUUUCAGUACCAGCACACUCUAACUUGAUCGCUGCAUACAAAUUAAGGAGGAAGAAAUAUAUAUGGGAGAAAACUCAAACCUGCAUAUGAUCUAGCUAGGAAAUAUAUAUUCUGAAUACAUAUAUUGCUUAACAUCAGAGAAAUUAGAACAUAUUUACCAAAGUGAUGAUGACCCGGAUCUUGAAAGAGCUUCGUCUAGAUCUAAUUGUGUUCGAGAAUCCUGUGUUUGCAACUUUGUCCUGUAUUAUGCUUUAACUUUUCUUUGCUUUACCUAACCAUCCCUGCUUUUUGGUCUCAAAGAAUUAAUAAUAAAAAAAAAGACAGACUCCCAAAUGAAGUUUGCCAUCUUACUUUAUUCGGAGGCUUAUGUUCUUAUGUUUAAAGUUGUUCUUAUGUUUAAAGUUAUGUUUGGAACUCCUUUGAUUCAUUUUAAGGGUUUUUGAAUCUAGCGUACAAGACCGAACUCAAUCAACUCAUGGUGAGCUGCAUUGUUGCAACUUCGACGAACAUAAGCCCAGGUGACAAAGACAAACCGCUUUAUAUGUGACGCUCUAGUGUUCAUGCGUAUUGGGAAUCUAGAGCGCUCAUUGAAAUAGUGAGGAAUAAGUUACAAAUGUACUUUCUAUUAUCAAAUUGAGUAACAGCUAGCCAAAUUUCAUCACUUAUUUGCUAGUCAAUUCAAAGAUACACAGAAAUUGAAACCAUCUAUUUAAGCAUGAGAAGCGUAAGGGUUUCUGAUGAUAAACAGACAUUGAAAUUACAUCAAACACACUGCUAGAUAUGCACACCCAAAUUUUUAUUACUAGAUUUUGUUCAGACCUUUCGUUAUGUUAAGAAUAUCUUGAAUAUCUUCUGGAUUAGGAAUGUAUUAUGUAUUAGGAAUGUAUGAGAUGUAGGCAAUUGUAUUGUUUGAUAGUAAGAACUUCAUUAUAGGGAUUAGUUUCCUUGCCAGUAUUCUGUACUUACUAUAUGUAAUCGGUACAGUGUCAAUAAAAACUCACUUCAGCCAAAUCUCUUUAUUUGCAAUCUUCUUCUUUUCAUGGUAUCAGAGCAGGACUCGAUCCUGACUCUAUAACCUGCUGCAUCUUAUCUCUCGUGCAGCGAUUUUCUCCUCAUUAGUUGUACUCUAUAUCUCGUACAACAAUUCUCUCGUCUCCAUGACGAAUCAAAAGAUCAAAGCUUUUUUCAGUGAUCAUCUUGAUCAUCCAUCCUUGGUGAUAGUGGUCAGCCAAUAUAAUCAACCAAAUCUACCUAUUCGGCAAAACGGUUCAUUCGUUCGUAUCCCUCUCUCCAAGCGACAACAUCAAUAUGUUUUGGCUAUUUUGAAUCGCAAGGAAUCUGAUGAUACACAAAUCAAUGCUGCUGUAACCAAACCAGGUUUACCGAAGAUCACUUCCCGCAACUGGAUCAUUGAUAACGGGGCAAUAGACCAUAUUUCUUCUUCUCCUAAAUUAUUUUCUCAUGAGAAUAAAAAUUGUUCAUUGCCACCUGUGUUAUUGCCUAGCGGAGAAAAGGCUAAUAUUGUAGCAAAAGGAUCAUUACCUUUGAAUUCUGUGUUUUGCCUGCGUGAUGUGUUAUGUGUGCCUACAUUUAAAGUUGAUCUGUUAUCGGUUAGUCAUCUGACAAGGGGAUUAUAUUGUUCAGUGACUUUUUUCCCAUAUUGGUGUGUUUUGUAGGAUCUGGUAACAGGGAGGAUAAUUGGUCUAGGGAAACAACGUAAUGGAUUAUACUACUUGGCGGCGUUGGCGACGAAGAAAACCUUAACCAAUUCUCAUUCAUCCUCAAACCAUCAAUCAACCUGCAACCUCACAACCUCAUCCAUCCCAUCCACUGAUUUAUGGCACAGCCAAUUAGGUCAUGUUUCUCAUUCCCCUUUAAAAUUCAUCGCUAAAAACUUCUUAAAUCUUUCAGUUCAACCCAUUGAUGCAUGUCCUAUUUGUCCUCUGGCUAAGCAACAUCGAUUGCCGUUUGGUGUGAGUUCCAUUUCAUCAGAAAAAUCAUUCGAUUUAAUUCAUUGUGAUAUUUGGGGUCGUUAUAAACAUGCUUCUCUUUCGGGUGCUCAUUAUUUUCUUACUAUCGUUGAUGAUUACACAAGAUUCACUUGGAUUUUUCUAAUGAGACACAAAAAUGAAGCCCAACCAAUUUUAAAACGAUUUUUCAGUCAUGUUUUCACCCAAUUCACAUCUCGCAUAAAAGCUUUUCGCAGUGACAAUGGUAGCCAGUUUCUUUCCCUACGAUCCUUUUUCAAUGACAAUGGUGUAGUUUUUCAACAUUCCUGCGUUUACACGCCCCAACAAAAUGGGGUUGUGGAACAUAAGCAUCGUCAUAUUCUGCAAGUGGCACGCGCUUUAAAAUUUCAUGCUCAUCUCCCUAUCCCAUUUUGGGGGGAGUGUGUUCUUCAUGCGGUACACAUCAUCAACAGAUUGCCUACACCUGUCCUUUCCUUCAAAACUCCGUUUGAGCAUUUAUACUCAAAACCGCCUCCGUACCAUCAUCUUCGUGUCUUUGGUUGUUUAGCCUAUGCUACCAAUGUUCAUCCUUCACACAAAUUCGAUCAUCGUGCCAUGGAAUGUAUUUUUAUAGGUUAUCCUGUUGGUCAAAAAGCCUGCAAAUUGUAUAAUCUGUCAACUAAAAAGGUUUUCACAAGCAGAGACGUUUUCUUCCAUGAAAAUGUGUUUCCUUAUGCAUCUGCUAUGCCCAAUUCUUCUAUUUCCUCUUCAGCCCAUUCCCAAAGCCCAAUUCCUCUUCCCAUCUCUGACCCAUAUCUCAUUGAUUACGUGUUUGACUCACCUGCUCUUUCUUCCUCCUCUCCUGAACACGAUAACAUAGACCCAUCUUCUUCUUCUUCACAAUCUCCUUCUCCCGACCCCGCCCCACCGUCCGCGCCACUGUCUCCAUCUCCGGCGACCGCGCCUCCAUCUUUCCUCCAUACAUAUUCACGUCGUUCAAAACCCCAAUCUAUCUCAGACACCCAAAGCCUUAAUCCUAUCUCUUCUUACCCGCAUCCUUCUGAACCACCUUCUCCGACGUCGGCGUCGGUAACCGAUCCACCUCUGCCCGCUGAACAUCACAUCGUCACCGACCCUCCUCUACCAGCAUCUGACUCACCUCGGCCCACUCCAUCGGACUCGCCUCUGCCUCCACCCGACCCACCCAUUCCUCCACCCGAGCUUCGUCGCUCCAGCCGCUCUACCGCCCCGCCUGUGAAAUUCAAAGACUACAUCUGCUCCAAUGUCAAGCGGUUUUCCUCUGAUCAAUCAUCCUCUUUAUUUCCAGGUCCGAAUAAAGGCACCUGUUAUCCGUUGUGCAACUAUAUCUCCUAUCAUCGAUACAAGCCGGUGCAUCAAUCAUUCAUUGCUCAAGUUAGCCAAGUCACAGAACCACAAUCCUACUCGGAGGCUGCUGUUCAUCCUGAAUGGCAGCAAGCAAUGCAAUUGGAGUUGCAAGCUCUUCAAGACAAUGGUACUUGGUCUCUCACUCCUUUACCGGCUGGUAAGAAACCAAUUGGGUGUCGCUAGGUUUACAAGAUCAAACACAGGUCUGAUGGCUCGAUCGAGAGAUAUAAAGCACGCCUAGUCGCCAAAGGAUUCACUCAGGUAGAAGGCACUAAUUAUCAGGACACAUUCUCUCCCACUGCAAAUAUCAUAUCUGUUCGUUGUUUACUUGCCUUGGCUGCAGCUCAUGGCUGGUCCCUCCACCAAUUGGACGUCAAUAAUGCCUUUCUCCAUGGCGAUCUUCAUGAAGAGAUAUACAUGUCUCCACCGCCAGGGCUCCGGAGAUAGGGGGAGGAACACCUGUUUUGUCACCUUCAUAAAUCCCUUUAUGGUUUGAAACAAGCCUCACGCCAGUGGUUCUACAAAUUCUCAGAAGCUAUUCGAUCGGCUGGUUAUGUGCAAUCACGAGCAGACUACUCUUUGUUCACUAGAAAACAAGGCAAGUCUUUCACUGCUCUUCUUAUUUAUGUUGAUGAUAUAUUGAUUACGGGAAAUGAUCCGGUUAGUAUUGCUGCAAUCAAGAAGUUUCUGCAUAAUCAUUUCCGUCUUAAAGACCUGGGUGAAUUAAAGUACUUUUUAGGGAUUGAAAUUUCUGCAUCUAGAAAUGGGAUCUUUAUUUGUCAGCGAAAAUAUGCUCUAGAGAUUAUUAAGGAUGCAGGGCUGUUGGGUGCAGCCCCUGUCGAUACUCCUAUGGAGAGAGGACUGAAGUUAUCUAAUAAUAGUGACUUGCUCAAAGAUCCAGGUCGCUAUAGAAGAUUGGUUGGGAGGUUGAUAUACCUCACUGUCUCAAGACCAGAUAUCACAUAUUCAGUCCAUGUUCUAAGUCGGUUUAUGCAUCAGCCUAGGAAACUUCAUAUGGAGGCAACCCUUCGAGUGGUUCGUUACCUUAAAAAUGCAACUGGACAAGGUUUGUUUUUCUCUUCUAAGAGUGAUCUUAGACUCAGAGCAUAUUGUGACUCAGAUUGGGCAGGUUGUCCAAUGACCAGGAGGUCUACCACCGGCUAUUGUGUCUUUUUUGGCCCUUUGUUGAUUUCAUGGAGGUCAAAGCGUCAGAAAACUGUCUCACUCUCUUCAGCUGAAGCAGAAUAUCGUGCAAUGACAGGAGCUUGCUGCGAGCUAACUUGGCUUCGGUAUUUGCUUAGAGAUUUAGGAAUCCUACAUCGCGAACCUGCCACAUUGUAUUGUGACAAUAAAGCUGCAUUGCAUAUUGCAGCAAAUCCGGUCUUUCAUGAACGAACGCGGCACAUUGAGAUGGAUUGUCACUUUAUAAGAGACAAAAUUCAAGACGGUUCAGUGAUUACAAGGUUUGUGAACUCAUCACAUCAAUUGGCGGACGUAUUAACCAAAGCUUUAGGAAAGGAGGCUUUUGUACCUAUGAUUCGCAAGUUGGGAGUGCAAGACAUCCACUCUCCAACUUGAGGGGGAGUGUUAAGAAUAUCUUGAAUAUCUUCUAGACUAGGAAUGUAUUAUGUAUUAGGAAUGUAUGAGAUGUAGGCAAUUGUAUUGUUUGAUAGUAAGAACUUCAUUAUAGGGAUUAGUUUCCUUGCCAGUAUUCUGUACUCACUAUAUCUAUAUGUAAUCGGUACAGUGUCAAUAGAAACUCACUUCAGCCAAAUCUCUUUAUUUGCAAUCUUCUUCUUUUCACGUUAUUCUAACAGAAAAUGUAACUGGAUACAUAAUUUAGUCAGCAAAUUCAACCUAAUAUGGACAGUGGAAAUCAUGAUAUCAAGGCUAAUGACUUGUACAAAAAGGUACCACUCCCAAACCCAAAUUCAUCUACCAGAAUUCGAGAACCUCUUAGCUGCUUCAAUUCAUUGAUGAAUAUGGGUCCAGGAGAAUUAUCUCUGCAUGCUUUGAUUCACGUUUAAACUGGAGUAGCUCUUUUACUAGCUUUAGAAAUCCAUCCACAGAAACAGGCUUAAGAGAUCGAGAAGGCGUGACAGUCAUUCUCUCCAGCAUAGGUGAACCUAAAAGUAGAAAUUUGAUGAAAUCUAGUUCAGCUUCAACACCAUAGAUCCCGGUUAUGUUCACAAGUCGCAGUUGAUAGAGUGUGCAAUUGUAGCUGACAUUGAAACAAGAAGAUUUCUGUUCUUCGACAACACCGGGUGACCUUGUGAGUUUCUUUUUGCCAUUCAUCUACAAAGAUCGAGCAUUAAAAAAGGAAAUUUUGGCAAAUAACUGUCUAAACUAAUCAGAUAGUUUACGGCAAUGUCGGUAGAAAUUAAGAUUUUUUUGUCAGCGGAAUCAACUCACAAAUUUUUUUAAUUUCUGCAGAGCAGAGGAGCUUCUCAGAAUGCAUAGAGCAGUUAGAAUUUCAUCCGGAUCAUCAAAGCAUAUGUCCAUAGAAAGAACUUUCAGAUAUUGGCAGGGUUUAGGCAGCUUUUCUGGCAACACACCCAAAGACAAAUACUGAUGCAGAAAAAAAAAAUUAAUGACUGAAAUUCCAAUGACGAUGACAAUGAUUAUUAAAUAAAGUAUAAAAUUAGCCAGCAGAUACAUUUACCUUCAAAAAGUACCACUUAAUUUCGAGCCUUUGAAUAUGAGGGAGGUGAUAAAAAAUCUUUGAACUGCUGGGAACCGAGCUGUCAGGAAUCCAUCUCGGGUCAUCAUCGAUGCUUACAUAAAAUUCAGCCUCAGUAAUAUUUAAGGCACUCUCAAGGUUGACAACAUCGAAAUUACCUAAAACAUGCAUAUAUUGGAGGGUUGUGCAUUAAUCUUGAGAUUGGUAACACCCUUACAAAAUCGCAGUGUUAAUCUCUCAAGCAGAGGACUACAACGAAUCAAAAUUUCAAACACUUCUUGGUCCAUGUCAACAGCGGCAAGUCUAAGGCUUUUCAAGCUCCUGAAUCCUUUGAACGUUGACGGAGGUUUGAGCAAACACCUAAGCAACUCCAAACGAAUGAGAUCUUGACAAGAAAACACACAUAAUGGGAUUUUGUAUGCACAUAAUCCAACAAAGAGUAUCAACUCUUUGAUAGACUUUCUUGAUAGAUGAGUAACCCAUCGAUCAAUAUCUUUUCUAGGGGUUAAGCCAUGUAGUGUAGUAAGCUUAAACUUGCGUAUGGGGCCAAUAUGAAGUAAGAGUACAUGAUCAACCAUGUUCACAAAGCUUGUUUGACCAUCACUAUCAUCGACCUCCCGAAUUCGGCCUACCCUCCAGAAACCCUCAUCAAACUCUAGAUCUUGAAGCAUGGCCGAUUUGUACCUCCACUUGGUCGAUAAAACACUUGUCCUGGCUGCUUCCCUGGGCCGCAGAAGUGACAAAAUCCUAUCUGUGACAUCAUUCGGUAAACUGCUAAUUCUGUCCAGUUCCAUUUUCCAUCAGUAUCAGCACACUCUAACCCGAUCACUACAAGACAACAAAGGGAUAUAUACAGUUGGGAGAAUACUCAGACUUGAUCCUGCUAGGAAUUCUUAUUGCGUAAUAUAUCAUAGAUAUAGAUAUACCUGUGUACCAAGGAAUUAGAGCGUACCUGAGCGAUGAAACGGAUCUAGGUGGAGCUUCGUCUAGAUCUAGUUCUUUGUCCCAGACUCCCAGAGUCUACCUGUGUCUUUUGACUGUUCUUGUUUUCGCCUUCUUGUUCUUUCCUUUUCCUUCUCUUUUCUUUUUGACAUUGUGGCCUUCAUGAGCUGUUUCCCUCUUGCCCUGGCUUUCGGGCUUUUUUAAAACCAUAAUGACAUUUUCGACCCCCUGAUGGGUCGUUCCAGCCGCCACUCUAGCUUCAUCAAGGUCAAUAUCUAGUUGUUUCAAACUUGAAGCAGAUUAUUGAAGACCUUGAAAUGUUGGUGGUGGUACUAGGACACACUGAUAUAAAUCUAAACAGUCAUAUCUUGAAAAGAGAAAAAACAUGAUGGCAGCUUAUAACAAAGCCCUUUCGAAAUCAAAUAUUGUAGAGCAUGAUCAGUGUCUCUAGUGGCGAGUUGAUAUUUUCAGUUGACAUAUACUGAUUACUGAGCACUAGCGACAUGAUAGUUCUGUAAUCGAGGCCUCAUUUGCUGAUUUUGGAACAGAGUUGCUACUAGAAUGAUUUGACCCCAUGAUCCCUGCUUUGCUGGAUCCAAUCAUAAGAAAUGAAGGUUGUGAGGGUACCGGAAGAGCGAGGGAGUUACCGGUAAUCAUGUGAAUGACCGAAGCCAUGGUUGGCCUAUCAUCUAUAUUUUGUUGUACACAGAGCAAUCCAAUAUGGAUGCAUUUCAUUAUCUCAGUUCUUGAACCAGUCAUCAAGGUGUGAUCUAUUAGAUUUGAAGCUGCUGACCCUCCCCUCCAGCUUCUCCAGGCCUGCAACAACAAAAUUAGACAUAAUUUUUUUCGUUAAUUUCUUUCAACUGUGAUAUUGUAUCACUUACAUAGCUUAGAAGAUCCUCCACAUUCCCUUCAUGACGGAAAGAACUGUUCUUUUGUCCACUCACUAUCUCCAGAACUAACACACCGAAGCUAUAGACAUCGGACUUGAUAGAAAACUGUCCACGCAUAACAUACUCUGGAGCCAUAUAUCCGCUACAAGGAAAUGAGCAAGAAGAAGGUUAGCUAGGGGUGUGACUUCGAAACUGAAAACCGAAAAAACCGCAUUGAAAACCAAACUGAAACCGUAGAAACCGCACCGAAAAAAAAACGGACCGAACCAGAUUUGUUCGGUUCAGUUUUCGGUUAAGGCCAGUAAAAACUGAACUGAACCGUUUGAACCGAAAUCAACGGUCAACGUUGUAAUGCGACGUCGUUUUGAUUAAAAAAAAAAAAAAAACCCUAGUUCUUCUUAUUGUGAACAUUGGACUCCAUUUUCAAUUUUAAGUUUGAACUACAUGCAUGGAAGUCUAUGGUCUUCUUAUUAUGCAUUAUUGAAUAUGGAUCUAUAAGUCUAUAUUAAGAACUCUAUAUUAAAAUUACCAGAAAUUUUUACUACUCUUUUUCUUUAGCAAAAAAAAAAAAAAAACUAAGAAAUAAAAAUUGAACCGGGUUGAACCGUUUAGUUAAGUUCGGUUUUCGGUUUCCAGUUUUAAAAAAUAAAAACCAAGCUGAAUUUUUAAUUCAGUUUGGUUUCCGGUUUUAGGUGAAAACUAAACCAGAUUAAACCGAUAACACCCAGGUUAGCCUCUAUAAAGUUAGCCGGAGAAUAUAGUAGUAGACAAGAACUUGGAGAAUUGUUUUCGUACGCCAUUGCAUGUAUAGGAGCAGAGCUGUACGUUUAUAAAGAUUGGUCUUGUACUUACUAGGUUCCUACAAUUCGAUUUGUUUCACCUUGUGUUUGAUCAAGCAGGAACAACCUUGCCAUUCCAAAAUCUGCAAUUUUGGGGUUCAGUUCUGCAUCUAACAAAAUGUUGCUAACUUUGAGGUCACGAUGGAUAAUUCUCAGACGAGAAUCUUCAUGAAGGUAAAGCAGCCCUCGCCCAAUGCCAACUAUGAUUUUGUAGCGACUAUCCCAAUCCAAAUGUGCACGCUUGACUGGAUCUGCACAUUCAUGCGAAUUAAAAGUUUGUAAUGAUAAAUGUUGCAGUUUACUUAUCUGUGGAAAAAAAAUUUCUAUUUCAGUUAUGAAAUAUAACAACAUUUCUAAUUACUAUGCCCAUGCGUACCAAAUAUGAAAUGGUCGAGACUUGAGUUUGGGACCAAUUCGUAAACAAGAAGUCUUUCACUUCCUUCCUGGCAGAAACCAAGGAGUCUAACCAAAUUUCGGUGUUGCAACUUGGCCACCAACAAGACCUCAUUUUUGAAUUCUAGUUCUCCUUGCGCAGAAUCCUUCGAAAGCCUUUUCACAGCUACAUCUUCUCCAUUGAAAAGCCUCCCCUGCAUUCACGAAUUUGGGGAGUUAUCUAAUUGCUCAUGAGCCACAUAAAUCAUAUUGUCACUCUACAUAAUGAUCUAUAUAUGGUUACCCUGUAAACAGCACCAAACCCUCCCCGUCCAAGCUUAUUUUCUUCAGAGAAGUUAUUAGUUGCAUCUCUAAUGGAGCCAAAGUCGAAUUGCAAGGCAUCAGCACUUCUCAUGUCAUCUGCUUAUGGGUAAUGAUGGGUUAACUCGUCAACCGAUCGAUAGUAAAUUCGUUGGGAUCAGUGGUAAAUACAAAUUAGUCUUACUCAUGUAACAUAUACCUUCAAUGAGUGGACGCUCUGUCUUCCUUGCUCUCCAAUAGAUGCAAAGUGACAUGAUGAGUACCAUAGAAGCAAGGAUUGGCACGACACUAACGAUGAUAGUCCGUCGUGUUUUGCUCUUAAUUACAACUGCAGAAAGCACUUGAUGCUCUUAAAUGUUUAGAUAUAACGUUGUCAAAAAAAUAAUUUACAUUCUUUAUUUUACCAUCCACACUUAAAUAUCACCUCGUGUGCGUAAAAUUUACCCUAAAUGUCAUGUUUAAUGCUAGACCGAUCAUCACCGUCAAUAUAUUAUGUCAUUGAAAUAAAAUUGUUAGUUAAUUGUUAGGAGGUAGAAGACUAAGAGCAUAUUCAGCAGUAUUGCUAAAUCAAUUUUUUUUUGAAAUUUGUCAACUUUUAGGAUGAAUAAGAGCUCCAGCAGAAUGCCUAAAAUAUUGCUAAAUCCUAACAUUGCUAAACGAAAUUGACAAAUUUAUCAACCUAGACAAGAAUUGCUAAAGAGAAACUUAUGUUUUCCCACUAUUUUUUAUUCACGUGUAAGUUUAUGAUUCGUUAAAAAUAUUACUUAAUUUACACUUAACAAUUACUGCUGGAGCACAAUUGCUAUUUCAAUUGUUAAAUAUCCUAACUAUUAUUAAAUUUAGCAACAAGUUAACCUAGAAUAAUGGAGAUGCUCUAACCGUUUCGGCACCCAGACCCAGACAAAAAACCAUCCCCGAUGAAGCCUUCGUCGCAGUUGCACCUGUAUCCAUCACUCGAAUUCGGUGUCAGCACUGAAAUACACCUUGCAUGCUUAUGGCAUUGGCAGAUUCCUUCCAGCCACCAAGUUAGCUCCAUCACUUCAACAUCCAACGUCACCGACGGCACUCGUGUGUCAUUCAAAAUCUGGCCACUUAUAGAUGACAACAAGUACUUACACUCCCUCUUCUCCAUGGUCUCGUAAACCAAAAACGUAGCGUUCCUUGCGCUCUCUGCAUAACAACUGAGACUAGCAUUCCGACUACAGUCCUCCGGGGCCUGAAAUCGAGCCUCCACGUUUAUACUGGGUAUAACGCAACUUGAUGAUACCUGAUCAUCUGUGCAGUUUCGUAACAGAACUGCGUUUCGGGACGUUGGGGCGUAGUGGACGCUGUAGAAUUGGUGGAAGGUGUGGAUGGGUCGAUCACAUCUGCUUCUGAAGCUGACUCUUAUGGAAUCAGAGUCGAUAGCCUGGACUGGGAACUCGCCGAUGAAUACCCCGGCUUUGGUGCAGUUGAGGUGGAUUUCACAGCCGGCUGAGAAUCCAAAUGGAUAUUGGAUCAGGUCAUGGCCUAAGAAGCUAGGGCAUGACUGAUUGCAGUUAAUAGAGGCUUGGGUUGUGAACAUAAGUACCGGAAGAACCAGGAUUGCGAUCAGUAGAUUCUCUUUAACUGCCAUGACCGUUAAGAUCAUAUGACUUUGGGCUACCAUGACCGCUUCUGGUUCUGGAUUUGAUUGGGAGUGUUUCUUUCAAGAGUCAACCAUAUGACUUUGGGCUACCUUGCCCUCCCUUAUCGCUUUAUUUGGUGUCUUCAGCUAACCGGGAUCUUCUGUUUGUUUGUUUGUUUUUGUUUUUUUUAAAGAGCGGAAUCUUCUGUUGCUCUAUCGGUUGGAUUUGGCGUUUCUGUUUGUUUAUUUACUUUUUCUUUUUUUUUAAUUUCUCUAGUCUUGCUUGUUUGAAGAUUGAUUCAUGAUUUGCAGACUUUUCUUGCUCUGGCCAAUUAUCCAUCAAGUUCUCCGAAGCUGCGGUGGGUAUCAAAACGCGUAUGAAGACCAAAACCAAAUUUUUCUCACUAUUUUGGGACCUCCCUCAAACAAAAAAUUUCCACUCAAUAAAAAAUAAUAGAAAAAUAUGGUUAUUGAGACUUCCAAAUUUGUUCAAUAUAUCUCUCAUUCUCUUCAUACAUCUCUUUUACUUUUCAAUAUAAGUAUUUGCUCACUAGAUCUCGUUUCAAAUUCCUAACAUAACCUUAAUUAUUUAUUGACAUAUAUUUCAAUUAAUUACUUACUUUAUCUUUUAUUCACUCAACAAACCUCUCAUUCUUUGUUUUUUUCCUUUUUGUUUUUGAACAUCCAUUAUCCCUUCCUUCAUUUUUUGAUUAUUUUUUCAUAAAAGAAAAUGUUCAAUCAUGAACUAUUCUAUAUAUCUUUUUCACAUUUGUUUUUCUUUUUUGUACGUGUUAUUUUUUUCCUUUUUUUUCUAUAAAAAAAAUUUGAUCUCUAUUUUGUACCUCAUAAUAAAUUAUUUCAAUAAAUAUAUAUUUUCUAUAAUCGAUAGACUUUUUUUUUUGCAAAAAUAUUUAUGCACCUUGUAAGUAUAUACGUUCAACAUGCAUGUAUGAUAAUACAAAAUUUUAUGUCACAUAAUCGAUAUUGAUCAUUGUUUUAGCUCUUAUGAUCUAUAUAUAUGCUUUUAUAAAAAGAAAUUAGAAAAAAAUAUAUAUAAGGAAAAUAAUAAAUAAUAGAAUCAAUUAUUAUUGAAUUAGAUAUAUAAUUAUUAUCUUUACUAGUCAUUGUGUAUGAGGAUGUAUAUGUUAUUUAAUAAUUCACAAUAGAGUGAGGUCUAUUGAACAAAUUUGAAAGUCCUAAUAACCGCACUCUAUCUAAUAGAAAUCAUUAUAGAAAUCGUCAAGACAUGUCUUAACAGACACACCUACAUCAUGCAUGAAGACUUGUACCAAAAUUAAUGCACAAUCCAAGCUUACAUAUGCCUUCAUUUCUAGAAUUCCACUCAGCUGUUAAACUUUAAAUUUCUGAUAUGCAAUUCACCACACCACAAUCAUAAACACAACAUAAUUUUUGUAAUUGAACUGCAGUGGCGGCAAUUGAAAUACAACAAGUCAAGAACACAGGAGAGUACAGCCAAUAUCAAGUGCUUGUAAUCUUAGAUCUAGAUACUUAACUUUUUACAGAAACGUUGAUCAUUUUGUAGAUCAAGGAUUUGACCUGCCUAACCAUCAUAUCAUUCAUAUGGUCUAAAAUGAGGUACGGCUUAGUUUCGUAUUGUUGUGAGAAUACUCAAUUUUAGAAAAACUUAGUUCUAAAAAAAAACAUCUAACCUGUUUUCUAAAAUCGUGAUUAUUUAAAUUAAAAAGUUUUAUAUAAACAUCUUAUAAGAUUUUACCAAACAUAAAAUCUAUUCAAAAUAGUGAUGAUAAGUGUUUUUAUUUACCAAAACUCAAUACUAAACUGGGCCGUAAUAAGAAACUAGAUUAAAAGUUGUUUACAAACCGAAAUCAAAAUAUCUAUGUAAUUUACUAAAGCAAACAAUAGCAGCAAGUGGUAACUGUAGGAUGCAACAAUAGUUUCCUAGUUGAAGCAGGAAAACAUUAAUUUAUAGCAUCAGCUGCUACAAUCCAUUAAUGAAAUAUGGAUCCAAGAAGAUUAUCUCUGCACGCUUUGACUCACACUUAAACUGGAGUAGCUUCUUUACUAGUUCUAAAAAUCCAUCAACAGAAACAAGCUGGAUAACCCUUUUCACAAGCAGAGAUGAACUGAUGAACAGUGAGAUAUAGUUCAGCUUUAACACCAGAUAUCUCAGUACUUUCUUUAAUUUUCAGUAGUCGUAAGCGAGAAAAACUGCAAUUGUAAUUAUAUUUUCAGUUAAAUAGAAGAACCUAUUGUUGGGAGUAUAGAGCAAGCAGAUCCUCUUGUCCAUUUUAAUUAGCUUCCAGGAUUCAUUGUUGAUCGAAUCAUGGGUCCAAGUAGAUUAUCUCUGAAUGCACCGAGGCGCGCCCAAACCGUAGCAGCUUCUUUACCAUAUCCCUAGAAACAUCGGUAGAAGCAGGCUUUACAGUGAAUAUCUCAAGCACAGGUGAAUUUAAAAGCAGAUAUCUGAUGAAAUCUAGUUCGGCUUUCACACCAGAGACUUCUGUCAUAUGUACAAUUCUCAGUUGGGUGAAUGAGCAAUUGUGAUUGUCAUGAUCCAGCCAAGAAUUAUCUUCUGCAACCUCAGCAUGAUACACUGCCUGGAGCGCCUGCAUAAGAUCUGUAGCAUUAUAAUCUAAAUUUUAUUUUGAAGUUGGUUGAGAAUUUUCGAUAUUAAAUAAAGCUAACCCGAAUCCUUAGUUCUUGUAGAGCAGGGCAGCUUCUCAGAAGGCAUAGAACAGUUAAAGUUUCCUCCUUAUCAAAGUAUAUGUCUAUAGAAAGAAAGUUCAGAUGCAGACAUGAUGUAGGAAGCUCUCGGGGCAAGUCACCAAUGUUAACAGCCAAGUACUGCAGCACAAAGAUUGCAAAAAAUGAACAAAAUACUAGAUGAUAAUUUUUUAUUUUUUAUGCAAACAAUUCACACAAUCUUUUACCUCCAAAAAGUCGAAACCUAUUGUGAGCCUUUUAACGUGAGGCAGCUGAUCAACAAACUUGACCAAAUUGCAAGAACUGCCCACCGAUGGUUUGUGAUUAGUGGUGCCCGUAAUUAUGAUGACUUCAACAAGGUUGACAGUAUUCUCAAGAUUAAUAUCCUCAAAAGGACCUCCAACAUGAAGGAAAUGGAGUUUUGGUGCAUUAAUCUUUAUAUGGCUGAAGCCGUCACAGCUUAUACAAGUCAAUGCCUUAAGCAGAGGGCAACAAACUAUCAAUUGUUCAAACACAUCUUGGGCCAUGGUAACAUCGUCAAUAUCAAGUUGCUUCAAACUCUUGAAUCCUUGAAAUGUUGGUGGUGGUAUUAGCAUACAAUGACAUAAAUCUAAACGAGUCAUAUCUUGACAAGAGAAAAAACAUGAUGGCAGCUUAUAGAGAGGCGCUUUCCGAUUGUCGAGCAUGAUCUGUUUGACAGAAUUUCUUGACAGAUGAAGAACCCAUCGAUCGAUGUCUCUACUGGAGAGUUUAUCAAAUCUGUAAGAAGGCAGGAAUUUCUCUACGGGGUCAAUGUGAGCUAAAAGUACAUGAUCAACAAUGUUGACAAUGGUUGUAUGGCUUCCAGUAGUCUUCGAGACACAUCUGCCAUCAAACACAAGAACUGGAAGCAUAGCAGAUUUAUACCUCCACUUGCUUGAUAAAAUACUUGUCCUCACUGCCUCCUUGAGUGUCAAACGUGACAAAAUUUGUAUCAUAACAUCAGUUGGUAAGUUGCUGAUGAUGUCCAACACAAUCUCCACGUUCGAACUUCACUCACUAUAUUGGACGAAUACUCAAACUUCCUCCAAAAAUUCUCCUAAACAAGAAGCUGUUCAUAAUUUAAAUAGGAACAUGUUCAUUCAAUAUAUAAACAAGAAGCUUUAUCAUAAUUUAAACUAUUCCAGGCACUCAUCUAUCAUGAACUAACUUGAAAUUGUGCCAGUGGCCAUUGAUGUAUAUAUAGAUGUGUAGUUGUGUGUUUGAUUGUGCAGAGAGGUAUACAACUCUAGCUAAUACAAAGAUUAUACAAAAAAAAAAAAAAAAAAAAAAAAAAAGUCAUUGCUGUCCAGAGAAAUGGAGUUGAUAAUACACAUGAAAAAAGCCAAUUCCACAACUCGCCAAACAAAGUUUAAAUUAGGUCAGGGUCAGGGUUAGGGUUUCCACCUAAGACGGGUUGAAUUCAAUCCCUAACGAUCAUGGCCCAGAAGAUUGAUUUUAGUCAACAAAUUUUCACUUUUUAAAUUUUGAUUAAUCAUAUUUUUUACUAACCUCAAGUUAAGAGUUUGUUGUCGACAACUAGAUUACACUAACCUCACAAUUUCGACAACAAAAUUUGUUGUCUCAUGUCGGGUCCCAAAGAUAUAUCACAUGUGUAUUGACCCACACUCAAUAAGACGAACUUUCUUAUAAAAAAAAAAGUAAGCAGAGAGAUUGGAAAAAGCACAACUGCAGAGCAACAUAAGGUAUCCUCUCAUUUACCCAGCAACUCAUGCCCUAUGGAUUCGCAACAUGCAUGUAUACAACAAGGGGAACUUGUCUCCUCCGUUACUCUAAGUGUCUUAGCAUCAAAAUUGAAAAAAAACCCAAUUCAAGAUUGAAAAACUAAAGAGAAAAAAUGAAUGGGUGUUAAGAAUUUGAUACCUGGGCUCUCUCUGAAGUUGAUUGAAUAACAGUGACAAAUGACAAGAGAAGAAAAACUGUGCGCCUGUGCCAAGUGCCCCGCGUGCUUGUGUGCGGCCCAGGGAACUCAGAGGAGAAUGAGAAGAAAAAGGAGGCGAAUGCUGAGGGGGCUUAUAGACUGUUAGAGCAUCUUCAACAACUUCUCCAUAAUUUCUCUAUUAUAGGGAAGCAAAAGUCAAUGCUUUAAGCAAUUUUUCUUCUACAACUCCAACAGAUUCUCUAUUUUGAAGAUUUCAAGAUGAUUCCCCAAAUCCUUCUAUAAAAUUUGGAGAAUGCUGCAGAUUUGGGGAAUUUGGGUUUCUCUUUCAUCACAUUCCCCAUUUUGGAGAAAGUUUUAGGGAAUCUGUUGGAGCAAAACACCCAAAAUCUUCUCCAAAUUGGAGAAUUUCAAGAAUUUGGGGAAGCUGUUGGAGAUGCUCUUAUGACGACAGUGAUAGAGUCACUCACUCUUGCUUUUGCCCAAAACACCCUUUUGUGUAUUUUAAGUCGUAAAAUCUGGUUUUCCUUUUAAAGACUAUUAUUUUUUAGAAAAUAGUCAAAAUACUGAACAUCAUUCCUUAAACAUGCUGGCUUGGGAAUUUGGUUUUUGAUGGGGAAAAGGAAUGUUACAAAUCAAAAAAAGUUUCUAAAAUUUAGGAGAUAAUUUUAAAUUUGCGAUCAAACUCGUGUAAUCGAAAAAUCAAAAGGUGUCAUCAAUAUUUGUCGUGUAUGUUACAUUUGAUCAAAACAUACAAACAACAAAAAGUGAUCAUUAAUUUAGAUGAAAAUUUGUAUGAUUGAGCUAUAUAUUAGUAUCAAUAAAUUAAAUGAUGAAGAUAUAGAAAUAUGACAAAAGGUGAGUCAAACAAUGAAUUUCACACUUUAAUUUUAAAAUGAAGCUUCGCUCUGAAUAGAAACGGAUUAUUAUAAGGAUGUGAAAUCCACACUUUCUAAAUUGUAAUCUACACUCCCAUUUUCUAUUUUUAGUCAUCAUUUUCAUAAAGAGACAAAAAUUAAGUCACUAAAAACAAAAUUUAAGUUACCACAAAUAAAAAGUGAGAGUGUGGAUUACAAUUUAAAGAGUGUGGUAUUACUUCCCUUGUUAUAGUCUAUAACUAUGUAUAUAAAAUAAUACUAUUAAAGCGGCAGAGGAGGCAUCCGCCUCAAGCUACAACCCUAGCCUCAUGGCCCUCCACGCUCUACACUUUACACAAAAUGAUUUUCAGACUCUUAUACACUGAUCAAACACAAUAAGGGUUAUCAUAUCGAUCGUGCACUAUAUCAAGCAGGAAAAAGAUGAUGCUAUAAAUUGAACACAAGUUCUUUUUAUUGUUUACACUUUACAAGAUAAAAGUAAGUAACAACUAUUUAAAAGGAUAAGUUUUGAUGAUAUUUGUAACAUAUUAAAAAGGAAUUGAUAGUGAAAAGGAUAAGCAUAUAGAUGACCAAGAGAACAACACUUGAUCUAUUGCUCAUGAAUCAAUGCAGUAAGAUUAUUAGCUCCUUCCACACUGUUCUUCUAGCUUGAUUCUCUUGGACAGUGGUUCACCAUAUAUCCAACAAAUUGUCACCAUUGCUUGACCUUUUGCGCUUGUGACUUGGAUUCUUUUGUUCAACAGCUCCUUCUGUUUCGGCUUCACUGGCAUUGUAAGUUUCUUCAGUACGUUUCUUCCACUUGUCCAUCUUCCUCUUUCUGCUGGAGUAAUUCUAUGGCAUUCUCAAUACUCUUAUUAACCUGUCAAUUAGCAAACUCUUAUAUAUGUUAAUAACAUGGUAAAAACAUUUUGUAGGAACCGCCAAACCGGAAAGGAGCGGAAUUAGGUAGGUACUAAGUCAUCAUAGCUUAAACCACAGCAAGAUAACAAUUUAUAGAAAGAAAAAAAAAAUAACGGUAAUACUCAUUAGACAAACUUUGCUUUGCAUAAAAAUCUACCCUCAACGAUAUGUGAGUAUGUAAAUGUUGUCCAUUUACAGAUUGAGGCUCAAAUUAGUUGUAUCAGAAUCAAAUCAGUAAUUCAGAAAACCUCAAAUAAGUACAUCUUAAACCUGGAUUAACACAACAGUAUAUACGCAUAGACAAGUUCGACAACAAUUGAAGCAUUUUCAAUUUAGCCAAAAAAAUUGUGGAUUUUAAAGCAGCCUGCCAUACAUAACAUACCUGUGGAUUUUGAAUAAAUUCAGCUAUGUCCUGUGGACAAUCUGGGCACUUCAUGACGUUCUUUUGUGAUCGCAAUGUUCUUCUGCCCUGGCAUGUCCUUUGUUUAAUUAAACUGAUCAUACCAGCAAAUGCACCUUGCAGACAAGCUUUACAGAAGUUAUGACCGCAUGGUGUAGUAACUGGUUCAGUCAUAAUCUUCUUACAUUUACCGCACUUAAACCCUGCAUAUAUGGACAUUUCUUUUUCACACUAUUCUUCAGUAAAUUAAACUGAAUUCCCUAGCUUGCUACCAGAGUAAUGUAAUAUAAAAUCAUCAUAUGAUUACAACUAGUUAAUUAGCCAUUCCAACCCCCUAGCUUGAGGAACCAAAACAGGCCUUAAAACCACAAUACCCUUUUGGAAGAGUGUUCAACAGUAUUUCCUCUACUAGCAGUAGGGUUGGAAACAAUAUAUAUCUUUCUAGCAUGAUCAGUUGAUCACCAUAAAAGAUAAAGUUGGUUAAGAAUAAGACUUAAUAUACAUAAAAGUGAUAGGAAAUCAAACAGAAACUGAAUUCUUCGAUAGCUUAAGGUUUUAAGCUACUAGAGGUACCACUGCCAUAACAAAAAAGAUAUAUUUAGCUGGAAGAGUAGAUCAUCCACACUUAGCAUCAUACUUGAGUUCUAGUAUCUCUAUCCUUCUCAUGACCUGAUUCGUAAAUUAAACAAGACAUUUUGCCAAUAUAUAAGAGACAGCAUCAGAAAACCAAGCGCACAUAUGCACCAUAAAGAGUACUUGCACUUGAUCAAUGUAGUUACCAAUUCAAAAUGCAACCAGGUCUGCUGUGAUAACCAUCAAUUUGUUACUUUGUUUGGGUGAUUCUUGAUCAAUCAUGGGUCCAAGAAGAUUAUCUCAGCUUGCAUUGACGCACGCCUAAACCGGACAACCUUUUUCAACAUUUCUAAGGAACCAUCGCCAGUAGCGGGCUGAAGAGUCAUCCGCUCAAGCACAGGUGAACUUAACAGCAGAAAUUUGAUCAAAGCUAGUUCAGCUUUAUUGGUACUAGAGAUGCAAGUUAUUUCUGUACGUCGAAGUUGGGUGAAUUGAUAAUCCAAGUUGUCUUCUAAAUGCUCUAACCAUGAGUUCACUUCACCCUGAACAUUCUGAUUGUCACGGUGGACCUAAAAUAAGGUCAGUGGCAUCAGUAUCUUAAACUUCUAUAAGACGUCUCUCUGAACUACAACUAUUUUUGUAGUAGAGAUGGUAAAUUAUAUAUUACAGAAUAUAACAUGAUCAAGAAAAUUAGACUCACAAAUAUCUCUAGCUCCUGUAGAGCUGGGGAGCUUCUUAUGAGGCAUAGAGCUGUUGUAAUCUCCUUCAAAUCAGUGAAGCUUACACUCAUAGAAAGAUGUUUUAGAUAUAUUAAUGGUUCUGGCAACUUUCCUGGCAUGGCAGUGGCACCAACAGCCAAACACUGCAGCAAAUUGUCGAAAGUUGAAAAGAAAACUCAUUAGCAUAUUAUUCCCAUGGCAAUGAAAGAUGAUCAUAAUGAAUGUAUGAAUUCAUAAUCCAAUACCUUUAAAGAGUAACUCGUGAUUUCAAGACAUCGAACAUGAGGUAGGUGAACUACAAACUUGAGCAAAUUGCUUGAAAUUCCAACAACACGCCUUUCCCUGACAUUGAAUUCCAAAGAAAUGUAAACAUAUUCAAGAUUCAGAGUAUUCCGAAGAUUAACAUCCUCAAAAUCACCCUCAAUGACAAGGAAUUUGAGAAUUGGUGCAUCAAUAUUGAGAUGUCUGAAACCAUUGCAGUUUCUCAAAAUCAAUCCCUUAAGCAUAGGACACCCAAGUAUGAAACUUUCAAACACAUGUUGGGUCAAUGUAACCCGCUCAACGGUAAGACGCUUCAAGCUCUUGAAGCCACUGAAAGUUGAAGGAGGUUUUAGCAUACAAUUACGCAGGCACAAACAGAUUAUGUCUUCACAAGAAAACAAACAUGAAGGCAAUUUGUAGCGCUGAUCAAUCCCGAUUUCAAGUAUCAAAUGUUUGAUAGAGCUUCUUGAUAGAUAAAGGAUCCACCUAUCAAUAUCAGCAGGGGCUAGAAGAUCUCGAUGAGAAAGCUUGAACUUGCGUAUGGGGCCAACAUGAAGUAAGAGUACUUGGUCAACAAUGUUAACAAAGGUGAUAGGAUUUUGAGUUGAUACACACUGCUCAUCAAACUUGAGACUUUGAAGCAUGGCCGAUUUAUACCUCCACUUGGUCGAUAAAACACUUGUCCUCACUGCCUCCUUGAUCGGAAGAUGUUCCAAAAUAAUUUCUAUAACAUCACUUGGUAAGUUGCUAAUUCUGUCCAACUCCGCCUGUUUUUGUGAAUGAGACUUGGAUGGUUUUCUUUGCUCCUGAAACUUUCAAUUAAUUAGAAAAGAAAAUACCAUUAAUCAAAUAUACUGACCAGUGGUGUCCAAACCAUUAGAGUUUAGACCAUGCCAUUGUCUGGGAGUGUAAGCAACAAAGAUCAUAGCUUUAGAGUCGGAACAAAUUGCCGAAUUGAUAUAGCUAGUCACAUAUAAAAGAAGCAGCUUUCCUUUCUCUUUCACAGUAUGGAUAUAUGAAAGGAUUUAAUUUUAGGCUUAAUAUAUAGUGACAAAGAGACGGUGAUUCUUUUAUCACAUUGGAUUCAGCCGAGAUAGAUUUUAAAUCAAAUACAUAAGCAGAUAAAACUUCUAUCUCAAAUGAAUGUUGAGAACCAUAUAUAAUCUGUGUCUUACUUGCCUAUGAGAAUGGAUUCUCUAACUUCGAAAUGCAAAUGAAUCAAUCUUGUUAAGUUAUCAAGUCCUUGAAAAGCAAAUUAAAGAUAGAGAAUUCCUCUAAUGAUCUUCACUGUGACUCCACAACAACAAGAACAACAUGUACAACAACUGUGGAUAUCUUGCAAUGCUUGGUUAACACAAAAGAAUUGUGGAUCGAACUGUAUGAAAACAAAGCAAAUUGCACGAAAUCAAAACGAAGGAAACCCACCAAUUAGAAAUAUGGAGAUUUAAGCCCUAUGAUCACUGCUCACCCACUAAGCUAAGAAACCAAGAACAUUACCUAUUCACCUCGUACCGGUUGUUGAUGUAAAGAGAAGAACCCCAUUGGCGUUUAUAGGCAAGAGAGUGAGAGAUGGAGAGAAGUCGAGGAGGCUUUGAAGUUUGAUGAAGGUUACUUUGUAGGAAUUUAUUUACACCGAGAGGAGAAAAGAAAUAACUACGACUCAUCAACUGCUAUGCGUCAAACCUAUCAGACAAAAAAAACUGCUGCGUCAAAAUACUUGGUGGAUGACGGUUGGGAAUUCGUUCCCUCCCAAAUGAUACAAAACAUAUUUGUUUUCCCCUUCCUUUGCAAUCUUUCACUUGUUUAGGGAUGAAUGCACCAAUCUGAUACACAUCCAGUACCUAUCCACAGCAAGAUUGAAAAAUACUGGUUUAGGCACGAGAUGUGCAUUUGGUUUAACUUGAAGAUUAAAUAGCUGAAAAGGAUUAAAAGUGUGCAACCACGAACAUGAACCAUCAUAAAGUAGAUAAAAGCACUGUUAUACAACCGCAAUUUAAAAUCUGAAUUCAGUUAGCAAAAGAGAAAAUCUCCGAAUCUCUAACAAAAGUCCAGUUUACCGCUUUUUUCAUGUAUCCACAAACCUACUGUCACCAAAACUGCGAGACUCAUUCAUCAGCUGACUCUCAAAAUUCCAGACUACCUUUGCUGCUGGACUGGGGGCAUUUUGUUCAGACAGUAAGAAAGUUGGAAUAACAAUCUUCCCAUAUCCUACAAUGUUCACUUCAGAAAAACAUAGAUUAAAGACCAUACAAUAACACAUUAUCUCCAACCAAGUCCUGUUACUGGUUGCUGCUGAGACUGAUUGAUGAAUCAGGGAUCUAAGUAUAUAAUCUCUGCACUUGAGGUACGCCUUAACUGGAGCAACUUCUUAAAAACUUCUGAGGAACCAUAGGCAGAAACAGCCUGAAUAGUUAUCGUCUCAAGCACAGGUGACUUUAGAAGCAACAAUUUGAUGAAAUCUAGUUCAGCUGUGCAACCAGAAAAGUGAGUUAUUUGAACAAGUCGCAGUUUGGGGAAUGAGCAAUUUCUGUCGUCAUCUAGGUCAUCCAACCAAGAGUCUUCUUCAUCAGCACCGAAUUCAUCUUCACUGAAUUCAUCAUCACCAUGUGCCUGAAGAAGGUUAAAAGCUUCAGAAGAUAAGACAUCUGACAUAAAGUUUCCAAAACAACAAGUACUUGCAGUAAAAUUGAUUUGAUGUUUCAAACAUGAUAAAAUACUGCAUGCAUCCUUUAAAAUAAUGAUAAUAAUAAUAUUGCAUGCAUCAACAGAGUAAACCUCAACAUGUAGUACUUCCAGAGCAGGGGAGCUUCUCAGAAGAUAUAGAGUAGUUAAAAUCUGCGCAGGAUCAUGAAAGUACACAAGGAGAGAGAGAAAAUUUAGAUCUAGACAUGGUUUGAGGAGUCUUCCAGGCAAGUCACCAACAUCCAAAAACUGCAGCAGAAGAUGCAGAAAUUAAAUAGAACACUCAAUGCAUAUGGUACAAUUCUUCUAGCUAUAUAAAUGACUAUAAGUCAACGUAGGGAAGCACAGAGUUACCUGUACAGAAAAACCAUCAAUUGUGAGCCUCUGAAUAUGAGGCAGGUCCAUGAAAAAGUCUGCCAAAUUGGAAGAACUGACACGAUCUUGUCUGUAAUACCUGUUCGACAAAUUAAAGUGAACAACAGCAAGAUUUAAGGUAUUCUGGAGACUAAUACCUUUCAAGUAACCAGAGAAAUAAAGGAAUCGAAGAUUUGGUGCAUCAAUCUUGAGAUGGGUACAGGCAGCACAUUUAAUAAUUUCCAAACUCUCCAGCAGAGGAGAGGAAAGAAUCAGAUUCUCCAACACAUCCCGGGCCAAGGUAACAAACUUAAAAGAAACUCUCUUCAAAGUUCUGAAACCGUUGAAUGUCCUUGGAGGUUUCAGCAAGCACCAAGAUAACUUCAGCUCAAUCAUAUCUUGAUAAGAAUAGAAACAUAAUGGCAUCUUGUAUCUAGCCCAAUGAAGUUCGAAAACUUUAAUACAGUUUCUUGAUAGAUGAAGAAUCCAUCUAUCAAUAUCUCUAGAAGGUAUACGAUGUGUGUUAGAAAGCACAAACUUCUCUAUGGGGCCAAUGUGACUUAAGAGUACAUGAUAGACAAUGUUAACAAAGGUUUCACAAUUAUCCGUCGAGAAACACUUUCCAUCAAAUACGAGACCCGAAAGCAUAGCCCAUUUGUCUUUCCACAUGCUCGAUAAAACACUUGUCCUCACUGCCUCCUUUAGUGUCAAACAUGACAGAAUUUUAUCUAUAACAUCAUUUGGUAAGUUGCUGAUUCUGUCCAAUUCCAUCUCCCCUUUCGAACGAGACUUGGGUGGUUCUGUUUGCUCCUAACAUUGUUAAAAGAAUACUAAAUCAUUGAUAUGACAAUAGUAAAGAUGCAAUCUUGAGCUACAAAUUCGAAAAAGUAACUAAUUCCAGUGAAACAAAGGCAGUGAGGAUUUCCCAAAUUCACAAUAUCCACGGUAAGAACAUCAAAGUUCAUAAAGCACACAAAGCUUCGCACAUACUUCAUUAUUUGAAUGGAAUGAGUCAAAUCCAAAUUACACAAAAUCUAAAUCCCAAAACUUACCAUAUCACUUCAGUUCUGUCCAGAAAUGCGGAGAUACUGAGCCGAAGAAGCUCCCUUUGCCAAGAUCAGGCAUGCCCCAAUUGAGUUGCACGCGAGAGAGACAAAGCAACAGAGGAUUAUUAGGUUUUGCGAACAGCGUACAGAUGUCUUUUGCCGACCGUGAAUUUGAGUCGGGUAUCUGAUAACUUGGAUUAACAAGCCCAACAGAAGUAUAGAAACCAAAGCCCAUUUUGAUAAGAAUAAACCAAAACAUAUUCAGUAAAUACAGAGUGUAUCUAUACAUACAUAUAUGAAUUGUGUGAGAAUUAGAUAUAUAAUGAUUAUGUAUGUAUAAAUUGUUGUGAAUGAUUAUGAUUGACCUGUACUUGCGCUUUCUGCAUAAAAGAAUUUCUGAAAACAAAUGACAAAUUGGUUAAGAUUAUGAUGUAAUGGGAGUUGUGUGCCAACGAGGUGCUCAUUCCACUAAAGCUCACAGCUCACGGAAUAUCAAUUCACAGACAAACGUCAAAUUACUCAAACACGUACAUACGAUUAUCCUAUUAGGAUUUAGAAUGGUCUCGUCAAUUUAUGUUGGCAAAUCAAUCCAAAAUGAAGAACUAAUUCAAUGACAAAUGAAAAGAAAAGUUAUAUAUAUACUAAUGCAAUCUCAAAUUACAAAGUUGCACACUUGCAUUUGGUCCAGAGUAAGGAUUUAACAGAUAAACAAACGGAUUAACGAAGUGGAUAAGAGAGAAUUGUUACAUCAAAUCCACAUAUUCCUAUACAAAUCCAGCAUUUCUCUUAUUAACAGCAUAACUUCUGCUUCUUGUAUACACAUCUGCCUUGACAUCCACUUCAUCUUCCUCAAAAGUAGAAGCCCUUUCCUCAUCGAUCCUCCCCAUCUUCAACCCAACACUAUAACUCCUCACCCCUCUCCCAUUGUUCGAACUAUAAUUGGCUGCUUGUCUAACACCAACAAUUGGUCUAACUCUAACACUACUUCUAUUCACAUCUGAACUUGUUGCUGCUGCCCUAAUAUUAUCGUCCUUGUUCUCUUUCCCUGCAUUGUUCUUCUUUGCCGACGCAUUUCUGAUAAGCUGCCUCACAUCGUCCUCGUCGUUCGAACCCGAAGAGUUGACACUAAAGCUCCGGGGUAAGUGAACUUGCGAAGCAGUGUAACCGCCAGCACCGCCGCCGCCAACCUUACCGGCACAAUCUUCCAAACCCCUCAUGUAGAAGUUCCUGGCCUUGGCUAAAGUCCUAAAGGGUAUAGAAAUAAAGCGCAUCAACAAAUUCUGCUGCUUCUUUGCUUUGCUAGCACUAGUAGUCCUCAUGGUUUUGCUUCUGCUUAAUAUGGAAAUUAACGAAUGAAGAUUGGAGCUGGGAUAGGUUGAGAUAUGGAUCAAGCAGAGUUGGAGAUUGUGAAGGGGGUAUAUAAAGGAGUAGGGGGAUUUGGGGAUUGGACUUGUUUCUUGGAUUUGAAGGAGUCUAACUGAGACGGCAAGCCGAGAGAGAAGAAAAAUAUAGUUGUUACAGGGACGUGUGGACUAUAUCAAAAUUCAAACAGGAGUAUAGGACAUGGGAAAGGUUCAAAUGUGUAAAUCAUAUAUAGGAUAUCAGAGUGGACCAUAAUCCAAAUCAAUGUGACGAAAACAUAUUGUAGAAUAAUUAUACAUGCAGAUAGACGUGAAAGUGAAUGUGACCCUUCCAAAGCUGGGUGUUGACUCCUCGUCGAUCUGGAAAUGAGGAAAAGGUCGGGCGGCAGACAAGUUACAACCCAAAGUAACUAAAUCUUGGAUUCCCGAUUACUAGAAGUUGGUUUGGGUUGACCCAUUAUAACACGACCCGUACAGUUUGAGUCUUACAAGAGCAUCUAGCUAUGAGAGACUGAUCUGUCUUAUGCCCUUGCUAAUGUUAAGAGAAUGUCUGGCCAGAAUGGCAACUUGUUUUAUAGUGUAUUGAAACUUCGAUGCAUAAAUGAAAUACGAUUUGGUUUUUUUCUUUUUCCCUCUUACGAAGAUGAUAUUGGAUUCAAAUUUGUCAACCACAUUUUCUUUGACCACCCUAAUGACCACUAUCUAGAUUGGUGACACAUGCUCAUUUUUUUUUAUCAACAAUAAAGUAAAACAAUUUAAAGAGACAUGUGACACCAAUCUAAAUAGUAGUCAUUAGGAUGGUCAAAUAAAAGGUGGUUGGCAAAUUUGAAUCCGAUGAUAUUGAGAUCCAUACGAUAAGAAACUCUUCUAAUGAAAACCCUUAAGUUAAAAACUAGUUGAUGACUUUUCGGCUUAUCUCACUUUUCGAUCUUAUAUCCACAUCUUGACCAUUCAGUUUAUAAGUAUGUAUGAGUAGAUCAUUUCUGCAAAUUUUCAGCCAUAUUAAAAAUCGUUAAGACAUUUAUAAGUGUGAAUUACCAAUUAUGAACUUGAACGGUUAAUGUUUGACAGAUUUGGUUCGUCCAUUAAUUUGAUUUAGUUUGUUAUACCUUAAUGAUCACCGAUUUGACUGAAAAUUUAUAUGACUGAUCUACACAUAUAGUCCUAAAAACUGAACAGAUAAGAUGCUAAUAUGUGAUCGAAAAAUAGGUCUUUUAAACCAUAAACAGAAAAAUUCUCAACUAGUCAUCAACUUAAGGAUCUUCACUAGAAUGGCUUCCUAUAUGAUAACUAGAAUUAAAUCAAUUGAUGAGUUGUGGUAUGGUUGGUUAUUAAACUACUAAUAACAUGUUAUCCAAGGCAAACAACAAUUGGACUUUACAAACAAAAUAAGCAAUAAUCGAAAAUUCAAUUCAAAUUGUUGCUUAGCUGCUCUAGAAACCCAGCACAAGAGAAAGCUUUGCCCUUCUACUUCCUUCACAAAGACAUAAACUUCUCUAUUCUACUCAGGUUAUGCUAUCGACAUCGUUCCAGUGGCGGCAGAGAAAAGCAAGGUAAAAGCUUAUUAAAUUUGUUAUUUCAUCUUCUAGCACAGACACAAAACACCACAACUUAUUGUCUUAAAGCUGCUUCUGGGUUGUAUUUAGGACUUGGGGGCAUGGAUCGUCUAUAUGCUUUUCAAUGUUUGAGAUGAUGAGAUUCUUAAUUCUAUACAUCGACAUGUAACUAUAUAUUUAAGUUGGAACUGUGAUUUUGGUUCAUUCACAAUGAUCAUGAGAAAAGGGAAAGGCGCAUUCUAUCUCUACGUUCUUGUUCGGUAUAAAGUAUGUACAUGUAAGGUUUUCUUUUUCCUUUUGCAUCUUCAAUUCUAAUGUCAUAUUGUCAUCCUACUUGUUCCAACUUCACUUUCUUUGGAAAAAAAAACCAACAAAAAAACCCUAAACCCUAAAGAAAGUUGCCAUGCCAAUAUCAGCAUAUAUAGUUUUACCGGCAAGUUUUAUUGGAAUUUUUGAUGUGAUAUUUCAAAAUACAAAAAUUAUUUAUUGAGGUUAAUUGUAGUCAAUUAAUUGGUGCUUUGAUUUCCAACAUAACCUUCAUUCCAUAAAUAUGUCUGUUACAAUUGUAACACAUAUUAACUUUUUCUUGUCCGUUACAAAGACUAAAGUUAUGAUUAAGUAAUGCUCAGUAUCAUGAUUUGUAACCAAUCUUCCUUGUUGAGUUAUAUAUAUAUCUCUAUCUUCAUGACCAUGACAUAUACAUAUAUAACAGUUGUACAUUAUCACUAUAAUAUUCUUCUCAUUGGUCUUCUCGUUCUACUUGAUCAUAUGCUCUCUUAUUCAUCUUUCAAGUGCCAAAGAAAGUUAUCAAGCGGUUCUAGGAUUCGAGUAUUGCGAGUGUACGCUUACGAGGAUCAACGGUUGUUGUACCCUGGAGGGUAGACGCCAUAAACCUAUUACACCGAGACAUUGUCUCCGAGGGGCGAAAUCUACUCUUAAGGGUAGUGUUUACACGCCUCAACCUUAAACAUUUUUCUGAACAAGUGUUUGACUCAAGCUUCAUAAUCAAAGAUAAGUAUUUAUAUUUUGUUAUUUUAUUGUUAUUUUGGCAUCAUUAUAAGUAUUAUUAUUUGUUAAUAAUUUUAAGUAUUCAUGUGAUUUUGUAGGUGACAAAAUCUGAUGGCGUUAUUAACAUCCAUCGACCCAAAUCUUACAACAAGUUUAGGGUUUAGCAAGUUGUCACUGAAGCUCGGCAGUUGACAGAAUUUGCUUACUGAAAUGUGGGUUUGGUACAGUCAUGAUUUUGUGAUGUGAUGUAUGUUGGUGUGGUUUGUCUCAACAUUGUUUAGAAUGGUUCCUAACCAAAGUUUUCAAGAUUUCCAGUUGUCAAGAAAUAAGUAAAUGAACAAUUUGAACAUGUUAUGCAGCUGUGUUAGAUGGUGUAGAACUUGUUAUCCAAGGCGCAACAACAUGUCGACUUUACGAGACAAAGACGCAAUCAAAAAAUUUAAACAAAUUGUUAUUUAGCUAUACAAAUCCAGCAUUUCUCUUGUUAUUAACAGCAUAACUUCUGCUUCUGGUAUAAAUAUCCGGCUUCACAUCGUCUAUAUCUUCCUCAAAAGUGGAAGCCCUUUCCUCAUCAAUCCUUCCCAUCUUCAAUCCGACGCUGUAACUCCUCAUCCCCAUCCCAUUGUUCAUCAUGGGUUGUCUAUUACUAAUAUUCGGUCUUCCUCUCCGGUGCAUAUAUGAACCUGCUGCCUUGUUGUUCCCUUUCUCUGCAUUGUUAUUCUUCUUUGAUGACACUGUUCUUAGAAGCUGCCUCAAAUCCUCAUCAUCGUUCGAACUGGUGGAGUUGGCGCUGAAGCUCUUGGGCAAGUGUGGAACUUGUGAAGCAGUGUAGCCGCCCACACCGCUGCCACCGCCACCAUAGCCCACCUUGGCAGCACAAUCUUCUAAACUUCUCAUGUAGAAGUUCUUUGCCUUGGUUAGAGACCUAAUGGGUGAAGAUAUAAAGCGAAUCAACUUGCUUUGCUUAGUUGCUUUGCUCUGCCUCAUGGUUUUGCAACUGCUUAAGUUUCUUUCUUGCAGAUGCUAGUGGAUAUUUGCUGCGUGGAUUUGGGAACCGUAAGUUGAAGUAGAGCAGAUGUUGAAGGGUAUAUAAAGGUGUGGGGAGAUUUCAUGUUCUUAUAGUUACAGUCAAACUGGGAAUGCAAGCCAAGAGAAGGAUAGCCGUCACGCGUGGACUAUAUCAAAUUCAAAUAGCACAUGUGAAAGGUGAAAGCUUAUAUAUGGAAAAUAUAGUUUACAACUAUAAUAUAGUACAAUAUUACGAGUGAAAGACCAAAAUCGAAAGCAAUGUGAUGGAACAUUGAAGCUAGGAAUGAAGAAGAGACCAAGAAGGUGCAUGCCUGGUGACGCAUUUUCUUGCCUUACGAAAAAAAAACCUUUGAGCAUUUACAAUGUCUAGCGCACUGUAAUCUUCUUGUAUAGCAAUCAAAACACUACGCUGUUUUGACCUGUUACUAUAUAAUGUCAGAUCAAAGUAUCAAACCAUUCGAUAAAAUAAGGAUCGGACGUGAGUGAGAGCCAACUCUUUGAGAAUUCUUGGUACCGCUAUGUUCCUCGACAACAUUAGCACGCAGUUUAGUACUCUUCCAUUAUUUCCUUCUACAUCUCGUCCUCAUGUUCCCUCCAAAUUGGGAUCAUAUAUGCAACCUCGAAAAAUCACACCAAAACACCACGAACCCAUGCAGCCGUACGUCCCUAGGAACCAAGAUGGAUUGAGAUUAUGAACAUUAUACAAAACAAAUGCCAAUUAAGGAGGUCAAACGAGGGAGAUGGGUUUUUAUACUUUUAUACUUUUGUGUUUUGCGAAUCAUUGACAACAGAAAAACACAGUUCAGUAGUCUAACCGUACAUACCUACAAACGCUUGCAGCAGACAUUGUUUGAAACAAGAUACUUAUAUACAUUACAAAAAUGAUGAUGCCGACUCUCAGGAUUCUCAGCUUUCGUUGUGGUCGGCGUCUCUGCAUAACUGCAUUGCUGGAUUUGCUGCUCUCUGUGUUAUUGUUGAUCGACAUUCAGAAAAGAAAAGAAAAAAACCUGAAGCGAAUUGGGCUUGUAGCGGGCUAGGUGGAGAGGUGUCACGUCUAGGCGGUUGGGCCGUGGUAUCUUCUCUUUUUCAUUUCCUCAACGAAAAUAAAUAUCUGGCCUCUUCUUCCUGAACUCCCCCUUCUUCGUCUUCCUGCACAUACAACAGAUACAAGUACAACAAAAAAAGACAGCUCCGAGCUUUUGCACAAUACAAAGAUAAAGGAAACUAAAAUCAACUUCUCUAUUCUGUCUGGGUUUGCUUUCGAUCCAGUUCCGGUGGCAGCAGAGAUAAGCAAGGUAAAGCCUUUUCCAUUUCUUACCAAAACAUUAGACCUGUUUUUGGGUUCUGUCCAUUUUAUUGUCUGUGAGUUGAUGAGAUUCAUAGUUUGGUACAAAGGGUGCUUGUUCUUUUGUUUGUGGGUAAAUUAGUAAGUGAAGGACCUGGGUUUGUGGAUUGUGUGUUUGUUUUAGUAGCAAUGAUGUAAAAUCUGCUUCUUUUGUAUACGAAUUGCAUUUCUGUGAGUUGUAGAUAUUUUGACUUUGAAUGCUUACUAGCUCUCACUAAACAUUUGAACACAGAAGCUCAGGGUCUACAUGAUCUUCACUCAUUCCACUAGCCGUUGUAUCUGAUUGAUGAUUACUUUCGUUGUAUUACUUGAAUAUCUCAAAUGCAAAGAGAACCCCCAAAGUGCAAAGUGAGAAUGAAAGUUGAGUUGGACAGAUUUAGCUACUUACCAAGUGAUGUUACGGAAAAAAUUCUGUUACUUUUGUCGACCUGGGAGGUAGUCAGGACAAGUGUUUUAUCGAGCAAGUGGAGGUACAAAUGGGCUAUGCUUCCAUGUCUGGUGUUUGAUGAAGAGUGCAUCUCGUAUGCUGCUAGCCAUGCUAAAUUUGUGAAAAUUGUUGAUCAUGUGCUUUUGCUUCACAUUGGUCCGUUACACAAAGUCAAGCUUCAUCAUCGAAAUCUUCUAGGCACUGAAGAUAUUGACCGUUGGAUUCUUCAUCUAUCAAGAAAUUCUAUCAGAGAGUUUAUAUUUAUUUUUUCUGGAUGGCCUGACUACCAGUUGCCUUCAUCUUUGUUUUCUUGUCGAGAUAUGAUUAGUUUGGAAUUACGUAACUGUUUGCUAAAACCUCCCUCCACAUUCAUGGGAUUUGAGAGUUUGGAAAAGCUUAGACUUUUCCGUGUUACAUUGAGCCAAGAUGAGGUUGAACGUCUGAUUGUUUGUUGUCCUCUACUUAAGGUAUUGCGUUUGGAAAACUGUAGUGGUUUCACCCGUCUAAAGGUUGAUGCACCAAAUCUCCAGGUCUUUGACUUUGGCUGUGUUUUUGAGAAUUUUUGUCUUGAGCAUACAUUAAACCUCAAGGUUGUUUAUAUUGCUUUGAAAGAGGAUAUUGAUCAAAGAGAGGCUUCCAGCAGUUCUAGCAAUUUAGUCAAGUUUUUUGUUCAACUGCCUCGCAUUCAAAUUCUUGAGAUUCGUAAAUACUUCUUAAAGGUACUAAAUUGUGUCAUUGUCUGGUUUUGCCAUUCAAUUGAAGGUAUUUCUCAUUGCCAUGGGAUUAUAUGCAUAUACAUUUUGUUAGUCUAUUGAAUUUUUAUUUUCUAUGCUCCAGUAUUUGGCUGUUGGUUCCUCUCCACCAAUGCUGCCUAAACCGUGUUUAUAUCUCCACACUCUUGUUUUACGAAUGAACUUCAGUGAUGAGGAUGAGAUUAUAACUGCUCUAUGCGUUCUGAGAAGCUCCCCUGCUCUAACAAACCUAUCUAUUUCGGUGAGUUUUAUUUAUUUGAUAGUUUCUUAAAUGCAUUCUGAUAUUCUUCUUAAAUUAGAAAUUAGAAACUUGUUACUUUUUUUUGUCAAUCGUUCAAGAUUCUGAUGUGUGAUCCUUGUGUAGGCUCGCCAAGUUGAACAGGCUGUUGUAGGAGAAGUAAACUCUUGGUUACAUGAUAACCAAAUUUUCCUAUUCCCCGAACUAAGACUUGUAAAGUUAAACCGAAUCUCUGGCAUCAAAGCUGAACUAGAUUUUGUCAGACUUUUGCUUUCUAGUUCCCCUGUGCUUGAGAGAAUGACCAUUAUGCCUGCAGCUGUUCACAAUUCUUCAGAACUACUAAAAAAAGUGAUUCAAUUUAAACGGGCCUCAGUGCAUGCAGAGAUUAUCUACUUGCAAAAAUGAUUUGUCAAUGAAGUCCGGCAGGUGACAGAAUUCGCUUACAAUGUGGGUUUUGCUACAAGUUUAUGAUGUAUGUCAUUUGUUUUUCUGAUCAAUUUCUCAUACCAGCAGUACCCCCUCUAAUUAACUUUGUUUAGAGACAAGUUUUUCAUCAUUUUUAUUAAAAUUUUCUCUUCUGUUUUGUGGCUAAAAAGCAUGUUAUAACUGACCAAAACAUAUGCAAGUGUAAUCAUUGUAGGUUGAACUAGGCACUUGGGCAGCAAAUCUCAAGCUUUACAGUUCUCAUAGGCCGUUACACUUUGUGCAAGACAGGCCCAAAACCAAGGCCCAGUCUCAACCCUUUAAAUCAGUAUCAAGUUGAAGGUUUGCUGUACCCAACUGUCGGUCUAAUCAUCAUUACUAGUAUCUUAUAUUUUGGUGCACCAAUAUUCUUGGGAAAUAAAAAUAAUUUUUAAAAUUAAACAAGCAAAUUUCAACAAAGGUACUAACCGGGGAAUUAUAAGAUUUUUCACCGACUAAGCAAAUCAAGCACGUUUUUCUUAGCUAUGGAUUUGUUCUGAUAGGCAAGCCCCUUCGAAUUCUGUCUCUCUCACACUACCUAGUGUCAUCUAACUUUCACCAUAACUGAAAAUGGCUAUACUUAUCAGCUCCUAACUUUCUGCAUCCUGCAUCAACUCCCGCAUGUACUUCAGAAACCAGAAUUCAGUAGCUAGCUACUGCCCUUUCAACUCUUCACAGUUGCCAUCCCCCUAAAAUAUAUUUGAAGCUUUGCUUCCAGACUCCCAUUAACACAAUUGGUAGGCAAAUGGGUUCGGAAGCAAGCUCAGUAUGCUUGCAUGUCCUGCUUCUACUGCUACUAUCCAGCUUUGCACUCUCUGUUCAUUGGCCUGUAAAAUCUCUGCCUGGCUACUCCGGUGAUUUGCCCUUCAACUUUGAAACCGGGUAAGUAUAUGUUGCUGCAUUAGUAUUUAGAAGUAACGUUAGUUCACUUCUUAUCAUUGCUGAUACAUGUAAAUGACAACCAAUAUUGUAUUCCAGGUACAUUAGUGUGGAUGAUAUCGAGUUCUUCUACUACUUUGUCGAGUCAGAAGGGAACCCUGCAGCUGACCCUGUUUUGCUUUACCUCAAUGGAGGUCCUGGUUGUUCAGGUUUAAAUGGAUUCUUCUACCAAAUAGGUAGGUAUUCUUUUCUUCUUCUAAUCUUUCUUGUUUUCUCAUUGUGCUUAUGUCUACGUUUACGUUUAUGAUUCUUAGCAUCUUGUGCUUCUUGUUUCUAGGCCCGUUGAAGUUCAACAUUUCAGAUUACACCGGGGGCUUACCGACAUUGAUGUACGAACCAGAAACAUGGACAAAGGUAUGCAACAAUGUGAUAUCAAAAGUUUCUUUUUCACUUAUUAUCAAUUUAAGCUCUAGAUCAAUUUUACAUGAAAAUGUCACAUCCAAUUAGAUUUAGCAUCAUCUGUUCUUUAACAUUCAUGUUGAUGCAGACGGCUAGUAUAAUAUUUUUGGAUGCACCUGUUGGUGCUGGUUUCUCGUACGCCAACACUACUGCGGCUUGGACCACAACAGAUACAGGAGCAGCAAGCCAGUACAAUGACUUUUUGAGAAGUGUAGGUGUACAUGUUUAACUUUGAUGUAAUGAUUUACGGAUUGACCAUAUUUUUACAUUAACUCUUAUUUCAUGUUGGUUGAAUGUGAUGCAGUGGAUAGAUGAACACCCGAAUUUCAGUACAAAUCCGGUCUACAUUGGUAGUGAUUCAUAUGCUGGAAUGAAUCUUCCCAUCCUUGCUCAAGAUAUAAUCAACAGUAAUCACGACCAACUCCUUUGUUAAUCUUUUUUUCAAUUAUGAUAAUGCCUUGAAGUAGCACGUAUGGACUAUUUUUUUGAUUGUUGAUUGAUUUGCAGGCAAUGAAGCUGGAGUCGAGCCAAUUAUAUACCUCAAAGUAUGUGAAUGAUCACAUGCCAAUUGCCCAUCCACUUAGUUAAUGGUUUAUAUUGACAAUCGGAUAACAUCACAUAUCAGAUUGUUUGAUAUUUACAGAGUUUUGUUAAUAUAUCGAGUAAUCAAUACUUAAUCUUUGACAUGAUUCCAGGGAAUGGUACUUAGCUGCCCGCAUACGAACACUGAUAUUGAAACAAAUUCCAAAGUAGUUUUCGCCCAUAGGAUGGCUCUAAUAUCAGAUGCAAUGUACUUGGUAUGAAGUGAUCAAAUGAUUAAUUACUUUCCUUUCUUGUAAAAGUUUCCUAGGCAGGGUAGGAACAACAUGUUCAUUAUAUGUUUACAUAAUUACCAUUGGUAUUUUCAGUCAGCCAAAACCAGUUGCAAUGGGGAUUAUGUGGAUACAACCACUGCAGCAUGCACAGAAAGUCUGAGUGCUAUAACCCAGGUUUGCAAAAUCCUCGUCUUCCUCAUCAUUGUCAUCCUCGUUACAUUUCAUUUAUGAACUGUGUUUGUUUACUACUAAUAGUGUGAUCAUUUUAUAUAAUGUGCAGUGCAUUGCUGAAAUAAGUGUAACCAGUACUUUAGAUCCUGAUUGCACUUUCUUGUCCCCGAAAGAAGAUGAAGAAAAAGCCUCCAGAAGAUCUCUCAGGGAAAGCCCUAUCAAGAGUCCACUAAGCCUACCAUCAUCAAUUACAAAGAAACAAGAUUUUUAUUGCCAUGUAAGUUUGUCUCACACUGUGUAUUAAUUUACGUCUUUGUCACGCCCUAUACUGGUUUUAGUUGUGGUUACUUCCCUUUUUUUGUGGUCACUUAGUAUUUCCUCAAUUUAUUUGGCAGAAUUUCCCUUAUUUGCUUUCUGAUGUAUGGGGAAAUUAUGAAGGCGUCCAAGAGGCUCUUCAUGUUCGACCGGUAAUUGCUUUCUAAUCUCAGAAAUUUGUCUUAAUAUAUAUACGGUAUUUGUUUCCAGUUGUACUCUAUUUAUUCUCAUUCAUAAAAAGCUUUCAUACUGUCAACAUUCCAGUUGCACCUAAAAAGUUAUCUGAUAAAUCAAGUCUUUACUAAAGAUUUUGUAUUUAAUGUUGUUUCAUUUUGAACAGGGAACUGUUAAAAUGUUUUUUAGGUGCAACGUUAGUCUCUCGUACACUGUAGACACCGAUGAUGCCGUCACUUAUCACAAGAAUCUGACCGACACAGGCCUACAAUUACUGGUUUUCAGGUAGAGAAAUCACCUUUAGUUAAGAAUUUGAAUGUCAGGUACAUAUCAUUGUUAAGUUUUCUUAUACAAACUUUUGUGUUCUCGCAGUGGUGACCAUGACAUGGUUAUUCCACAUAAUAGUAUUGAGUACUGGAUAACCACACUAGACCUCACACUCGACACCGAUUGGCGUCCUUGGUUCGUUGAUGGUCAAGUCGCAGGGUGAGUUUAAUCACAUCAUCAAGUUCAUAUGUCACAUUUAUUGAGUUCAGUAUUUUCAACCGGUCUUGUAGAUCAUACAGAGAGUCUUUGGUAAGAUGAGCAAGUGAAGAGUGCAACAGCAUCCUAUACUGAAGUGAUUGCAUUCUACGUACUAAUGCUGCCAUAUAUAUUAUUGUUUCAGGUACACAAGGAGGUAUACAAACGAUGGAUAUCGGUUGACAUAUGCAACUAUUAAGGCAAGAAAGCAAUCAUCUUUAGCUUCUUCUGAUUUCUCUGUUAAUUCAAAAUUUCUUAUUUUUAUUGAUUUGGUUAAAUAAUAUGCAGGGAGCUGGUCACUCACCCCACGAGUACAAACGAAAGGAAGUUUUUGACAUGUUCCAUAGGUGGAUCCAUUAUUAUCCUCUCUAAAUUUUUCGUCAGGUCUAUUUGUAGAUUCAAAUAAUAGUUUCAUAUGCAAUUUUGAUAAAAAUAUGCAAACUUCAAGUGCUCCGGCCAUUCUUUAGAUCUUGUAGUGUUGUACUAUAAGGCAUUGUACGAGAAGUAUCUUGGUAAUGUAUCUAUUAAUUACAGUUCAUUCCAUAGUGGAUGGAAGAAAGCUCACAAAUUAAUGGUUAAGCCACUCCCUCUUCUAGUUUUUUUUUUUUUUUUUUUCAAAAUUGAAGUUGUGAGCUGAGGUGUACAUAGACCGUGUAGUCAAUCUACAACCCUCAACUUGAGACCCAUUAGACCUCAAAAAAGUAGAAAAUAAUAAUUCAAUAUAGUUUGGUAUGCUUCAAUGUAUUAUUCUUCUCCGAAUAAGAGCUUUAUAUAGAGAUACAAUCAUAAUGCUACUAGAAAAAUAUUUCCUACAUCUACACUUAGACAUACAAGAAAAGUAAAUAAGUACAAAAUACAGCACCCUUUCAUUGAGGGAUCCCUAUUUUUGGCCACUUUAUAGGGAUAGGGCAUUACACCACUUCUCAAUUGAAUUUUUACAUCUCCACCGUUCAUAUCUUAGGUCUAUAUGAGUAGAUCAUCUCUACAAAAUUUCAUAUGAUUUGGUGAUUGUUAAGGCUUUCAAAAGUUUGAUUUAGUUUUAAUGAUCUUGAACGGUCCAACUUAUGUCAAACUAAAACCGUUGAAGGUCAUUAAAACUAAAUUGAACUUUUGAAAGCCUUAACGAUCACCAAAUCAUAUGAAAUUUUGUAGAGGUGAUCUACUCAUAUAGACCUAAGAUAUGAACGGUGGAGAUGUAAAAUUAUAAUCGGGAAGUUGGUGUAAUGCCCUAUCCCUAUAAAUGGCUUAAAAUAGAGAUCCCUCAUUGGAAAGACCCUGAUACAAAAUAUUAUACACUCCCCCUCAAGUUGGUGCAUAGAUAUCGAUCAUACCCAACUUGUCAACCGAGUUGUCAAACACUUUCCUUGACACUCCUUUUGUGAGAACAUCUGCAAAUUGAUCUUCCGUAUACACGAAAGGAAAACGAAUGAUUUUUCUGUUUAAGUUUUCCUUAAUGAAAUGCCGAUCUACCUCCACAUGCUUCGUCCGGUCAUGCUGAACAGGAUUAUGAGCAAUUUCAAUAGCAGACGUGCUAUCACAAUGCAAGUCCAUGGGUUUCUUGAGUUUGAAACCUAAUUCUUUCAAUACAUUACGAAUCCAUAGAAUCUCACAAACUCCAUGUGUCAUACCUUGAAACUCUGCUUCAACACUUGAUCUUGCAACGACUUUUUGUUUCUUACUACGCCAAGUUACAAGGUUUCCUCCAACAAAUGUAAAAUACCUAGAUGUAGACCGUCUGUCUGUCUUAUCACCAGCCCAAUCAGCAUCUGUGUACCCUACAACUUCCAAUUCACCCUUCUUUUCAAACAACAAUCCUUUUCCAGGUGUCAUCUUAAGAUACUUCAGAAUACGAUACACUACAUUCAUAUGCUCUUUGCUAAGACAAUGCAUAAAUUGACUAACCACACUCACAACAUAAGUAAUUCACAGCAUAAGCAAUAUCAGGUCUAGUAUAAGAAAGAUAAAUAAGUCUCCCUACUAGACGUUGGUACCUUCUUUUAUCAAUUGGAACUUGAUUCGGAUAGAUGGCAAGGUUGUGAUUCAUCUCAAUUGGUGUCUCAACAGGCUUGCAGUCAAGCAUUCCGGUCUCAGCUAACAAGUCAAGUACAUACUUUCGUUGGGAUAAAGAAAUCCCCUUGUUUGACCUUGCAACUUCAAUUCCGAGGAAAUACUUCAACUGUCCAAGGUCCUUCAUCUGAAACUCCUUUGAAAUGUACUUUUGUAGAGCCUCCAUCUCUUUUGGGUCAUCUCCUGUUACAAUCAUAUCAUCAACAUACACAAUCAGAGCGGUAAUCUUACCCUGAUUACGUUUGAUGAACAAAGUGUGAUCUGAGUUGCUUUGUCUAUAACCAAAUGUCUUCAUUGAUUUUGAGAAUCUUCCAAACCAAGCUCUAGGAGACGACUUCAAACCAUACAAAGACUUCUUCAACUUACAAACCUUUCUGACAUCGCAAGGUCUACAUUUGACUCCUAGGGGCAUGUCCAUAUACACCUCUUCUUCCAAGUUUCCAUUGAGGAAAGUAUUCUUCACAUCAAACUGUCGUAGAAGCUAAUCUUUAGUUGCCGCAAGUGAAAUCAAGAUUCGAAUACUGUUGAUCUUUGCUAUAGGCGCAAACGUUUCUUCAUAAUCAAUCCCAUAGCAUUGAGUGUAUCCUUUGGCAACUAAUCUGGCUUUAUAUCUGUCAAUGCUCCCAUCGGCUUUGAGUUUAACCAUAAAUACCCAACGGCAUCCAACGGUCUUCUUUCCAAUAGGUUUAUGAAUAAGAUCCCAGGUCGAGUUCUUUUGCAAGGCUUCUAGUUCUUCAUUCAUCACUUGAGACCACUUCGGAUCCGCCAUUGCAUCCUGUAUAGUACUAGGAACAUAAAUACUGGAUAAUUGAUUAAUGACAAGAGCAUGUGACCUGUAAUUAGCUAUAGGAUAUUUAGCUUUGGCUUUGAUGUCUGGUUCGUAUUGUUUCUUUAGAAUACCCUUGGUAAUCCUCUAUGAUUUCCUAGUUACAAUAUCAUCUACCCUAGAUAAUUGGUUUGAAUUUAAAGGUACCUGAGGAGGGACAUUCGUGACAGAUUCUUCGGUUGAUGGUGUGGAGAAGGGAAAUGACUGAGAAGAAUCUGAAAUUACUAGGACAACAUCGGAAGGUCUAUUAGUUAAUUCAAUGAUUGUCUGCUCUGCACCAACAAUUUCUGCAUCACCAGGCGUGUCAGCCACUAUUUGCUCGACACGUGGCGAGUUCUGUGUGUUUGUCAGCUCCGAUUGCGCGACACGUGGUCCUUGUGUCUCAAUUCUGACGAGCACAUGGUCCUCCACACAUACGGAUCAGCUCGGAAGCUUGUCGGCUCGGCUUGGCGUCUCGACAGCGCCUGAGUCAUCUUCUGUCACUGAAGCUCCAGGGACUGCGCCUGUUGCUGAUGCGCCUGGACCCGCGCUUGUGUCUGUCGCUGAAGCGCCUGGUCCUGCGUCUAGGCCUACUUCUGACAAGCAAGGAGCCACGUCUGGGUUUCUGCUUCUUCUUUUUGGUUCCAUUAUGCUAGUACUAUUUUCAAUUCCAAAAAUCUUGAUUCCAAUGCUUCUAAUUCUUCAAAUUCUUCAAAUGCAAACAAAUUCUGAGAAUUCCCUUCACGACUUCUCUCCCCCUGAAGGGAAGGCUUAGAAGCUCCCCCUGAAUAAUAAGGCUUGGAUUCGUGAAAAUAAACGUCAAGAGAUACGUGGACGGUGUUGUUAAGAGGAUCAUAACAUCUGUAACCCUUUUAGAAAUAGGCAUACCCAAUAAAGAUACACCGUCUUGCACGAGGAUCAAGUUUGCUUCAUUGAGGUUUGGGAAUGUAAACAUACACGACGCAUCCAAAUACACAAGGCUCUAGGUUAGGCAUUGACGGAACUGAAAGUAGAUUAUGAAGUUGCUGCAGGGGGUUUUGAAAUUCAAUUACCCGAGAAGGAGUACGAUUAAUGAGAUAAGCAACACUCUUCACAGCUUCUCCCCAAUAUUCAAGAGGUACAUUCAUGCCGAAUAAAGAGGCACGAACAACUUCAAGCAAUUGUCAAUUUUUCUGUUCGGCCAAUCCAUUUUGUUGAGGAGUAUAAGAAUUUGAAGUCUGAUGUCGAAUUUCAUAGAACUGCAUAAACUCCUGCAUAGGGCCAUUAACAUACUCUCCACCAUUGUCAAACUGAAAAACUCGAAUAGCAUGUUGAUACUGUGUAGACACCAUCUUGUGAAAUUCUUUGAACCGAGAACAAACAUCGCUCUUGUUCAUCAGUAGAGAUACCCAAGUCAGACGAGUACAAUCAUCAAUAAAUGUUACAAAAUACCGAGCGCCACAUAAAGAAGGAAUAUUUGUAGGGCCCCAAACAUCAUAAUAAAUCUUCAUAAAUGGAAUAGGGCUUCUUGAUAGGAUCACAAAAUGCUACGAUAUUAACGUAUUUCCUACCUUAUUUAGUUAUGUUAUUCUCUUAACAUUGUCAUUUUAAACAUGUUUGAUGAUUGUAAAGGUAAAAGAGCAGAAAAGUGAAAAAGGAAGCUAAAACCGGCGAAUUAAGAAGGAUAAAUUACUUAGGAAACUUUCAUGUUUUGAUAAGGGGAAACUUUCCUAUUUCAUUUUGGGAAACUUUCCCAUUUUUUAUUAGGGAAACUUACUAACUUUGAAUCUUUCCUAUUUUGACUUUCCUAAAUUAUUUUGGAAACUUUCUUUCCUCUUGAGACAGGGAUUCCACAUGAAGCAAGGAAACCAAAUCCUACAUGGAUUAGGCCCAAAUUCUGUCGCAUAAAAGGAGGAGAAUGGCGCCAUCUUUUUAGGGUUUUCAGCCGAAUCUAUAUGGAGAUAAUGCAGCAAAUUUCGAUGAUUAUCUUUCAAUAAAUCAAGAUAAUGGCUUAUUGACAUCAAGGAAAUUAAGGGAAAUUCUUACCUUUUACUUCUCCAUAUAAAUUCUUAAUAUUCCUAGAGUUUAUAUCUGAUUUAUAUUCCUUUUCUAGGAACAUUAAAUGGCGCAAAUAUGGGAGGAAUUAUCAGCAGCAAAUCGACAAUAAACAAGGAGAGAUUCAAGCCGAUUUCAAUUUGGAAAACAAGCAAUGUAUUCGGCCACAAUUCCAACUGAAUUCAAAGUCUUAAUGUGCAAGAUAUUCUAGAGAAUUCUAAGGAAUAUUCUCUGAAAAUAUUGUGCUAUUAUUUGUGGCCCUUGGAUCGGAUUUUAAUCAAUGGUGUGGAGCAAACCCUAUGUCGACAUGACCACUAUAAAAGGAGGCUUUUACAUCAGAAAAAUGGUCGUCGUUCAUUCACAUAAAAAUUAGAGAAAACCCUAGCAGCAACCGAGCCUCCUCUUCUCCACCUUUGCCGAGUUCUUCCUCCCUUGCCAAGCCUUGAAGGACUUCUCCAUGAAGGCAGCAACGUUGGUGACUUGAAGCACUGAAGCCGAGCAUCCCUUUGGCGUCAUCAUGCUUUCUGCUUGGAGAUUGAUCAAAGUGUAAACCUAUCUUUACUUUUGUUUAGACUUCUCUAGCAAAUUUAAUAGCAUGUUUCGGAUGUUAAGUUUGAGUUUUUGACGCAUGUUUUGUUUGCUUUUGUGUUCUUUGGAUUCACAAUUUUAUAAAGCAUGUUAGUAUUUCGUUUAUGAUUUUCCUAUGAUCUGAUCUUGCAACUUUUUGUUGAUUGAAAGUUUGCGUUUUUGUUUAAAUUACUAAAGCUAGAAUGCAUGCUAGCUGAGUGCCAUGAUUUGUGCUAAGCUUCUUCAAGUAAGUAUAGAUCUAAAGUGGUGGAAACUAUGUAAUAAUGGUUGACAACGUAAACUACAACGAUUGCAUGUUACGACUUCUCGGAUAUGUGUUUGUUGUUCAAUCUCAUUCUAAUAAAUCGUAAUGAUUCCUGUUUAGUGUGGACGGGUACUUAGAGUCGACGCUAGGUAUCGAUUGCAGCCUUUGCAUGAAAUGUUCUAAGUUCUAGACUUCUCUGUGCUUAGACAAUUAAAGUAGAAUUAAUGGGAUACAAUGACUUCUUCAAGCUUGUGUUUCGAGAUUGUUUCUUUGAAUUAGAAUUUGUAUGACUUCAGAUUAUUGGGAAUGAAACUUGACAUUGAUGUGUGGUUAGAAUUCGAAUCUAUCUCUGUUUAAAAUGUUGAAUGAACCGAUCACUUGUAUAUAAUACUUUUAUUUUCUGUUUUAGUAGGAAUGUAGAACAAAACUUUCAAAACCCCCCUUUAUCUACUGUACCAUCUGUAUAUUUGUAACUGAAUACUUGUAAAUACAUAUAGUUACUGAUUAUUUAGUGUAACAGUGACUACAGGAGCGCCCUUUAAGUCCCCGGAUUGAUCGAACCCUAUUUGCCAAUACUACAUUCUGAUAAAAAAAGGUUUCUAAAUUACGCGCCCGGUAACGAGCACGUCACUUUUAUUCAGGCUUGGUGCAGCUUCUUAAGAUAACCGAAGUUUAGAUGACCCAACCUACGGUGCCAAAGCCACACAUCUUUCUUAACACUCUCAGCUCUAUUGACCUGAUUAGCUUGACCCAAAGAUUGCAUAUGUUUCUCUCAUGUCUCUGUCAGAUCUAGGUAGUACAAUUUCCUUUUUCUCACUCCAUAACCCAAAAUCCGUCGCGUUAGAAUGUCUUGAAAUACACAGAAAGACGGAUAAAAGGUGACAAUACAUGAUAAUUCUUGAAUGAUUUGGCCAACUGAGAGAAAAUUGUAUGACAAUGAAGGGACGAUUAAUACAAAAUCAAGGGUUAAUGUAUUUGAUAGGACAAUAGAGCCUUCUCCGGUAACGGGAGUUGGAGUACCAUCAAUGGUAGAAACAAUAUUUUGAGAGGAGGGUUUUAAUUUUUUCAAGAGGCUAGGAUCAUUACACAUGUGAUCUGAUGCUCCUGUAUCAAUAAUCCAGGACCUAUUCAUAGAUACCUUACCACUCAUACCUGACUGUGCGACAUUGGAGGUAUUAGAUGGUUAAUUGGUCUUCCUUUGUAGUAGUUAUGACAACUUUUGCUUGAUUCUUCUGGGGGUUCAUGGUGAAAUCCCACCGAUCCGGCUACCCAAUUGUUUCAAAGCAGCGUUGCUUGCUAUGACCUAAUACUCCACAUAGUGGAUAUUUUGAGUUCGCAUAUGAAUUUGGUUUGCAUGGAGAUCGGUAUGGUGCGGUGGUAUGGUAGUUGAUUUGGUGUGCCAUUUUGGAGGUUUGGUUUUUGAGAUUCAAGGAUUUGGGGAUUAUGAUUUUAAUGUAUGCAACGAUUUGUUUGUGGUGUAAUUCGGGAUUCAGGUUUGGUUUUGGGAUUUGAGAAUUUGUGUGUGAUUUGUGGGGUUUUGGUACGCAGCGAUUUGUGGUGUUUUGGUUGUAAAUUCAAAGGAUCGAACCUGGCAAACUCUGAUGCCAAGUAGAAAAUAAUAAUUUAAUAUGGUUUGGUAUGCUUCAAUGUAUUAUUCUUCUAUGAAUAAGAGAUUUAUAUAGAGAUACAAUCAUAAUGCUACUAGGAAAAUAUUUCCUACAUCUACACCUAUACAUACAAGAAAAGUAAAUAUAUACAAAAUAUUCUACAAAAAACACACGCAACUCUUUCAAGCAAAGGAACAACUCAGAUGUUGUGAUUUCUGUCAAAUCUCUCCAAAUAUUACAUAGUAUUUUAGCUAUGCAGUCAACAACACCUCAAGUGAGCGAAUCCAAACCUUAAAAAGCAAAUGCUGAUGAAGGAUUAAUGGUAGAGACAAAGAGAUAGCAAGAGAAUCAUCAUCUUAUUCAUUGAUAGGAGCCCUUUAUAUAGGGAAUUACACAAUACCAAUAUGGUAAGGAUAUAAAUACAUAGAUCUAGUCUAACUACAUAUCCUAUUGGUAUAAGGCCAAGGCACACAGGGUAUAGGANANCUGUACAUCNCUGUNUCGCGCUGAUAUGCCGAUGGUGCUGAUCUGUUGCCUCGUCAAAAACCUCGUCAAGUCACAAAAACCCUGUGGGAGAAAAACUGAACCUUGAUCGUAGGAGAAAAAGAGUACAACGCACCAUUCACAUUUGAUAGUGACAUGUAUGUAUGUGCUAGACUCCCCCUGAAGUUCGCACCUCCCCCUGAUCUUUACAUCAAUCAUAGGGCUCUUCCUGAUUCUUACUAAUCACGGAGGUUUCAAAAACUUAGCAUGUCAAUGCUCUUUAACAUGUCUUCAAAUGUGGCAUUAGACAAUGAUUAACUAAAUCAUGCCGUAUUGUCCUCAAAUGAUCUUUUACACUUAGAUCUUGAGGAGAAGGUCGCUUGUGAACACAAAACAUAAGUUCGUGCAGGAAAUCAGGUUUCCGCGCAGCAUGACCUUCAAUUACUAGAACAGUCGUAACUUCCUCUAGGAAAUACAUAUGAACGAACCGUAAACGGUUUUGGAAACUAGACUCAUUUAGCUUUCCAACCGUAUAUUACAAACAUUCUGGUUCAUCAGGAGCUGUUCACAAAAUCCCGUCGAAGUUGACUGUUUUGCCAAAAUCAGAUUCUCGGACAGAUUCGUCCUACUUUACGAAAACGGCCAUAACUCACUCAAUAUGAUAGGUAUGAUCAAAAGGUUGGUGUCUCUGGAAAUUAGACACAUAGACCUUUCCAAUGGUACCAAUUUUACCAUAUUCCAGUGAGUGAGGUUUCUUGUAAGUCCCGUGGAGCUUGACCUACGAAACUUGGCAGAUUCUGAUUUCGCUAUUUGAUGUGUCUUUCUUAUGUAGGGAUAGAAUAAGCCUCAACCUUUUAUGCCAUUAAGUAUUGAAAAAGGAGUUACUGCCAUUACAUUGGCGUUGCGUGGGCGCAUAGCUACACUUAGCUUUACAACUUUUCAUAGUGAAUGAGAUGUCAAGUCUUUCGUAUUGUGUUGAGUACAUUGAUGCGUCUAAUUGUACUUAGAUGGGAACUCCAUCUCUUAACACAUAUUUGUCAUCUUGCUUUAGACAAAACAACGGAUCUCUCUUUAGAGCAAAGACCUUGACUAAUCAUGGGAGUAUAUGUAGGCCUCACUAGUUAUAGAGCGCCUAAGCCCGAUUGAUGGAAAAUCAUCAUCAAUACAGUCAUCGAGUGCCUUAUCGAGACCAUGUCUUCCCAAGAUCUUUUUCUUCGGAUGUUGAUACAUAUUGGCAUCUCUUGAUCCAUCAAGAGUCCAUGUAAAUCCGGAAUGAACACGCAAAGGCAUAAUUCACCAUAUCCCUUCCAAAUCAAGUAGAGUCUAUGUGCGNNNNNNNNNNNNNNNNNNNNNNNNNNNNNNNNNNNNNNNNNNNNNNNNNNNNNNNNNNNNNNNNNNNNNNNNNNNNNNNNNNNNNNNNNNNNNNNNNNNNNNNNNNNNNNNNNNNNNNNNNNNNNNNNNNNNNNNNNNNNNNNNNNNNNNNNNNNNNNNNNNNNNNNNNNNNNNNNNNNNNNNNNNNNNNNNNNNNNNNNNNNNNNNNNNNNNNNNNNNNNNNNNNNNNNNNNNNNNNNNNNNNNNNNNNNNNNNNNNNNNNNNNNNNNNNNNNNNNNNNNNNNNNNNNNNNNNNNNNNNNNNNNNNNNNNNNNNNNNNNNNNNNNNNNNNNNNNNNNNNNNNNNNNNNNNNNNNNNNNNNNNNNNNNNNNNNNNNNNNNNNNNNNNNNNNNNNNNNNNNNNNNNNNNNNNNNNNNNNNNNNNNNNNNNNNNNNNNNNNNNNNNNNNNNNNNNNNNNNNNNNNNNNNNNNNNNNNNNNNNNNNNNNNNNNNNNNNNNNNNNNNNNNNNNNNNNNNNNNNNNNNNNNNNNNNNNNNNNNNNNNNNNNNNNNNNNNNNNNNNNNNNNNNNNNNNNNNNNNNNNNNNNNNNNNNNNNNNNNNNNNNNNNNCCAGGAAGUUGGAGUCGUGUUCGGGUGACGUCAAUGUCCCCCGGGUCACCACCAUGCUUCAUGGUGAUGCUAGAUCUUGAAUGUCUUCGUUUUGAGCGGAAGAAUGGAUGUCCAUGAGAAUUUCUCAAAAUUUGGACCAUUAUAUCUCUUCUAGGUUGACCAAUUUGGUCAAACCAAAGCCUAUAUGAGUUGGUGUCCCAAAUAUCAUGUUUGGCGACAACAUGGGAUUCGAUAUUCGAAUCAUAGUGACAUACAGUCCACUAGAUUGACUCAUGAAUUUCUCCAAGAUGCGCUUCAGUCUGCAUUCAUGAGAAGGUAUACACAAAAGAAUUUUUAUUCAUUCUCACAAUGUGUUUUCAAAUGAAAACCAUUAGCAUGAAUGUCUUUAAAGCUCAACAUGAUUCCUUAGAAUGUUAUGGAUAGUUCCACUAUCUGCGAAGCACUCAAUGUCUCUAUGAGACAUAACUACAAGGAGUAGAUAGGUGAGUAAAUAGUUCUACUUGAACCAUUUAGAAGGAUUGAAAGAAGCUACGAAAAGCUGCAAUCCCGAGAGUGCAUAAAAAUUUCCGCGCAGAAUGACCUUUGCGCACUAAAACAGCCAUAACUUCUUCGUUAAAAUAGAUAUGGACGAACCGUGAAAAGUUCUGAAAACUAGACUCGUAGAGCUUUCCAAUGAUAUAACGCUCACUGUCUGGUUCGUCCGGAGCUGUUCACAAAGCUCAAACGAAGUUGACUGUCCAGAAGGGACAGAUUGCUGUUUUUCGCAGAUUUGGCAUGUGCGAAGCUGUGAAGCUUGCAGGUGGCGUGUAGGCUUUUGCCUUAGCCAAAAGUGACGUGUGUAUAGAUCAAAACCAAGUCCUUUACGGUCGUUCUAAGGUCGUAAACUCCNNNNNNNNNNNNNNNNNNNNNNNNNNNNNNNNNNNNNNNNNNNNNNNNNNNNNNNNNNNNNNNNNNNNNNNNNNNNNNNNNNNNNNNNNNNNNNNNNNNNNNNNNNNNNNNNNNNNNNNNNNNNNNNNNNNNNNNNNNNNNNNNNNNNNNNNNNNNNNNNNNNNNNNNNNNNNNNNNNNNNNNNNNNNNNNNNNNNNNNNNNNNNNNNNNNNNNNNNNNNNNNNNNNNNNNNNNNNNNNNNNNNNNNNNNNNNNNNNNNNNNNNNNNNNNNNNNNNNNNNNNNNNNNNNNNNNNNNNNNNNNNNNNNNNNNNNNNNNNNNNNNNNNNNNNNNNNNNNNNNNNNNNNNNNNNNNNNNNNNNNNNNNNNNNNNNNNNNNNNNNNNNNNNNNNNNNNNNNNNNNNNNNNNNNNNNNNNNNNNNNNNNNNNNNNNNNNNNNNNNNNNNNNNNNNNNNNNNNNNNNNNNNNNNNNNNNNNNNNNNNNNNNNNNNNNNNNNNNNNNNNNNNNNNNNNNNNNNNNNNNNNNNNNNNNNNNNNNNNNNNNNNNNNNNNNNNNNNNNNNNNNNNNNNNNNNNNNNNNNNNNNNNNNNNNNNNNNNNNNNNNNNNNNNNNNNNNNNNNNNNNNNNNNNNNNNNNNNNNNNNNNNNNNNNNNNNNNNNNNNNNNNNNNNNNNNNNNNNNNNNNNNNNNNNNNNNNNNNNNNNNNNNNNNNNNNNNNNNNNNNNNNNNNNNNNNNNNNNNNNNNNNNNNNNNNNNNNNNNNNNNNNNNNNNNNNNNNNNNNNNNNNNNNNNNNNNNNNNNNNNNNNNNNNNNNNNNNNNNNNNNNNNNNNNNNNNNNNNNNNNNNNNNNNNNNNNNNNNNNNNNNNNNNNNNNNNNNNNNNNNNNNNNNNNNNNNNNNNNNNNNNNNNNNNNNNNNNNNNNNNNNNNNNNNNNNNNNNNNNNNNNNNNNNNNNNNNNNNNNNNNNNNNNNNNNNGAUCAAACACAACCCGGACAAAGAAACAAAAGUGAUCAAACACACUCUUGACCCGCGAAUAAAAUUCCUGGAUUUGGGUACCUGCACGCACAAAAUCCCAAGCAUAGAAUGGAGAUGGAGAAGGGAGGAAAGGAUUUUAUCCUCCCCGAGUUAUUGAACUUGGAAAAGUUUAAGGUUUCAAAAAACAUACCUUUCUAGAGGCUGCCGAGAGGAGAAAUAACGUUUCCCCUGCUUAUACUUCGAAUUUGGGGCUGAAAAUUUGAUAGAAGGAGCAACUCUGGAUGGGGAAGCUGCUGUCAAAAUUUCAGGUUGAUCGGAGCAAGGAAAGGUGGUAAACCGGUGGUCGGUAGCGACGGCGGUCUGGAAUCUUCCGGCGGCCGGUUCGGAGACUUUCAGGCCGGUUCUCAGGGUGAGACCGGCGGCGUUGGAUCCGGGGCGGAGAGAGCUUUCUGGGGAUAUAAAAUUCCGGCGGAGGGCAAUCGGAAUUUUGGUCGGAAAUCGGGAAAAACAAGGCUGCCCAAUUUUAGGGUUUUGGUUUUUAGGGUUUAGAAAAAAAAUGGUGGCCUAUUGGCUCUAGGGUUAGAACAAAGUGUAUGAUAACGUGAUGAAUGAUUAAUGGUAGAGACAAAGAGAUAGCAAGAGAAUCAUCAUCUUAUUCAUUAAUAGGAGCUCUUUAUAUAGGGAAUUACACAAUACCAAUAUGGUAAGGAUAUGAAUACAUAGAUCUAGUCUAACUACAUAUCUUAUUGGCAUAAGGCCAAGGCACAUAUAGAGAAUAUCCUAGAACAAAUGCAUCCAUUUUGGAUGGGUUGGUCCAAUUAUCAACCCUCGUUGAUACACAUCCAAAUCAGUCUUACUUUUAAUCGACUUAUCAGUUGAGAAAUCCAAAGUCUCGACUAUGUAGUGAUCUUGCUAAUCCAAAUUUGGAAAAUCCAAUUUGCCCUAUGUGGUCUUAGUAGUAACCUUAGUACUGAUAACACUAAUACUUCACCCUGACCAAAAUUUGUUAUAACUUUAUUAGUCCAGUUACAAUAACCAUCUCUAGUGGUACGUACCCCCCA